UUUUAUUGUUCUUCUUCCUUUCAAGCCAAGCUAUAAGUAAAUAUUGUGUUCUAACUAAUAAAAGAAAAAACAUUAUCUUGUCUAAGAAAAUGAAUUGCUCCUCCCUACGAUCUUGGCUCAUUCUAGGUGAUUUCAACCUAAUUCGUUUCGCUUGUGGAGAAAAUGACCUCCACCAGAUAGAUGCUAACCUUUUCAAUGACAUGAUCAACAAAAAGCUCCUGCUAGAGCGCCCUCUCCUAGAUCGACGUUUUACUUGUCCAAUAAACGAAAACAAGUAGUACAUGGUAAUUUAGUUCACCUUGAGCUGUUGCAUGCAAAUGGUAGAGCGGCUGUUGUUUAUGUGAAAAAAGAACUUUGCAAAGGUACUAGUGGAACAAAAUUAGCAAACUUGUAGAACAAAGAAACUAUGACAUUUAAAGUAAAAGGACGCCAAGUGAAGCCCAAAUAUGCAUGAUAUUAUUUCCCCUCCCCACUACAUGAGAAAAUGGGACGAAAAGUUGCCUAUUACAAAACAAAGUUCAUAAGGCCCUGUACAAUGCAAGGUGCUUGGGAUAGGUGCUUAGAGAAAUAAACCAGUUUUUCUCUAAGUAUCGGUGCUUAUUUGUAGAGGGUAGACGCUUAAUUAAGCGUCUGUCCUAUAGAAAUAAGCACCGGUGCUUAAGAAGAACUCGGCUUAUUUUACUAAGCAUCUUCCUAAGCAUUUCCCAUGGUACAAGGCCUAACAUAGCAUACAUACAUUCUUGUGUUUUACAGCAAAGCAAGAAACAAUUACAUAUAUUGAUCAUUACUACUUUUUGAAAUAAACUGGUCAAUAUGCGACACCUUCUGCAUAAUCUUGGAUUGCAUGCCAUCGACAGAGAAGAGAAGAGCACAUCUCCAGGUCUCAACUGAAAAGAGCAGUCCAAACCAUAGCCAAAACCCAAAAACAACCCCAGCAGUCACACAGUAGUACAGCCACUGGUCCUCCCCUUCACCGGUUUUCUCAUCCGAAGCAGGCGAAGUAUUUGGACAAUCCUCUAGAGGAAAUCCGCAAAGGCCGGAAUUGUUCCGGUAAAUCGAAGGGUCGGUCAACGUCUGCAUCUGGCUCCCAGUAGGUAUCUUGCCUGACAAAUGAUUGUUCGAGAUGUUGAAUGUGCUGAGCCCGGACAAGAUCGAGAUGCUCUGUGGAAUGUUUCCAUAAAGCUCAUUACAUGAUAGAUCAAGAGACUCGAGAUUCCUCAAACUACCAAUAUCUUUAGGGAUGCCGCAUGACAGAUGGUUUCUUGACAGGUUUAGAAAUCGGAGGCCUUCCAGCCUAGUUAACUCUUCAGGGAUGCACCGAGACAACAUAUUGCCUGACAGAUCGAUGCCGGUUAAUAACCGGAUCGUUCUUUGGAAGAUGAGCUCCUGGCCCUUCCAGAUUAUAUCGAUUCUAUCCUGAUAAUUCGACCCAUCCAGCGCUGAUGCCUGACUCGACACAAUUUCUGGAUGCCUCAUGGAGGCCAUGUUGCCGAAUGCUACAGGGAUUGGUCCUGUCAGUCUGUUGUUGGCAAGGUCGAGCAGCUGGAGUUUAGAAAGCCGCGACAACUUCGAAGGGAUUUCUCCUGUGAAAUUGUUUGAUCUAAGGCUAAGGAUUCUCAACGAUGGAACACGGGUUCCUAUCCAUGGAGGGAUGGCGCCGAAGAACUUAUUAUUCCCGAUGUCGAGGGUGGUCAGCGAAUCGCAAUGAUCCAAGACCCGCGGGAAGGUGCCGGUGAAGUCAUUGCCGGCGAGAUGGAGCGACUCGAGGGAGCAGUUGUGACUUGCCUCGGCAGCGGGGAUUUGACCCGAGAAGGAGUUGUUGGAGAGGUCCAUGAACUGCAGCGCCUGCAGAUUCCACCAGCAGUCGGGGAGCUCGCCCGUGAGCUGGUUGUUGGACAGGUCGAGGAUCUGGAGGGAGAGGAGCCUGCAGAAGGCCGCGCCGGCGCCGGAGCUGUUGGAGGAGUUGCGGCUCCGUACGCUGAAGCUCUCAGGCACGGUGCCGCCGGAGAAGGUCUCGUGGUUUCCGCCGGCGUCGAGGUACAUGCCCGUUGCCCGUUGGGCAGAGGAUAGCAGUACUAGGAGGCAGAGGGGGAGGCACAGCAGAGGUGUUGUUGAAGCUUGGGCGUGCCCUGCCAUGGUUGGAAUUCGAGUGGAGCGAGUUGUUUGGUCUGCACGACGCCCACUUGUAUGUGGUGGCGGUGGCAGGACCGGGCCGACCGGCAGCGAAACGUCGACAACAGCGACCGAGCGACGCCGACUCUGUGGAAUUCUGGAGCGCGGCAUGCGUUUUCCACACGGCAUACCAGUGGACUGACUGACCGACGGGAAGAGUAAAAGACUCGGGAUAGUUACACGUGGGGACGACGAGACUCUGAUGCUUGCUUUUUCUUUCUUUUUUUUGACGGGAGACGCUGCCAUGCGCCCGCUAGUCGUUGAUACCAGUGGACUGUAUCCGCGUUGUGGGCCCGCCCAAUAAUUCUUCCCAAUGCCUGUUCGCCGAGUUUGUGGUGAACGAGAAGCAGACGAAAACCAAAACGAUCGAACCAGAAACUCGGCGAACGAGAUCGCUCGAUUGCUUCACAAACUAUUUCACUAGAAAAAUGUGAAGAAGAAAAAAAUAAUCUCUUUUUCAAUAGAAACAUGUGAAACCAACCUAUUUCACUGUAAACCUUUUUUUUUUGAAAACCCCUCCCAUAUAUUAAUUAAUUAAAAUUGUUCAUACAAUCGUCUAUUACAACUUCAGCCAUGCAUGGCGGAACACUAUUAAGACUCACACCAUCAUACCUAUUAACAAAACUGAAUUUAGCAAUUUCAUGCGCCACCUUAUUGGCCCUUCUGUUAAUCUUGGAAAUCUUGAAACUUGUCAUCAACCAGAAAAUGCUCAAUGCUUUCAUCAUACAGAUCAACUAGGGAAGACCCGUCCAAAUAAUCGUUUCCUAGAAAGGAGCCACAAAAGAACAAUCAGUUUCUAAGAUGAUGGGCUUGUAUAGAGUAAUACCGAUGUAAAGCCCUGCGAGGGUCGCUCUAAGUUCCGCUUCAUCCACGCUAUUGCAAACCCCAAUAUAAUCCCAUGAAAAAAUGAUCACUUCUCCUAAAUGAUUCCUGGCAACCACACCCACACUCGCAGAGCUAAUGGCCUCCACAAAGCUUGCAUCAACAUGAAUCUUAAUGGACUCCGGGUCAGGUGGCUGCCAAUUCGCAACUUUUUCUUUCACUUCAAUGGUAUCAUAAAACCCAUCGACCCUUUCCUUACCUUUGUUGGUAACCUCCAUCUUCCUAUUGGUAUGACAGGACGAGAAGGACCCCCAGUAGUUUUGAAUAAAGCUUACAGAGGUAGAGAUAGUUUCCUUUCCCUAUUUAACCCAAAUACGAAACUGAAAUGUCAACUUGUGCACUUGAUUAUUUAAAAUGUGUAAUAAUUUAUUUUCAAAGAGUGAAAUGUGUUAUUUCAAAAAUGCGCAAUUGAAAUAUAUGUGUUUUUUGUGAAACAAACUAGUGGAAAAUGAAAUGUAGGUUCUCAAAGUGUAAUAUAAUAUGAAACUGAAGAUGUCAACUUGUGAAACUGAUUAUUUAGAAAUGUGUGACAAUUAUUUCAAUAGAGUGAAAUAUGUCUCGAAACAUUAAUUGAAAUGGAUGCGGUACUGAAACUGGUCUGGAAACUGAAUUGCGUGCGGUCUGGAAAAUUCAAUUUCAUAUUUUAGUGUCACAUUAUAUAUACUAGUUACAUUCUGAUUUCAUAUUUCAAUCUCACAUUAAUUGAAAUGGAUGCAUUACUAAAACUGGUCUGAAUAUUGAAAUGGAUACAAUCUGAAAAUUUCAAUUUUUUAUUUCAUAUCAGUGUCAGAUUAUAUAUAUAUUAGUUGCAUUCCAAUUUCACAUUUCAAUCUCAAAUUAAUUGUAACCAAUGUGGUACUGAAAUUGUCUGAACAUUGAAAUGAAUGCGAUUUCAAUUUUAUAUUUCAGUGUCACAUUAUAUAUACUAGUUGCAUUCCAAUUUCAUAUUUCAAUCUCACAUUAAUUGUAAAAAUAUAUCUUUUAGUUGAGUGAAAUAUGUUUUUUGUAAUCGGUGAAAUAAAGUUACUUGAAAUGAAUUCAAUAUUGAUCUUUUUUUUGAAUAAAAAGGUAGAGCAUUUUCUACCUUAUGCAUUCAAAACGGGUAAAAGUACCCGGAUGACCGGAGUCAUUUACAUGAAGGUGAUGUUAGCGCCGCACAUUGUGUGCAGCAGGCCAUCACCAGACCUGAAAAAGGAUACAAAGCAGAGGGUGGGAGAAGGAGGGGCGAUUUCUGGAAAGGCUAAUUAGUAGCGAGAGCAUUUGCCCAGAGAAAAAGGCUAUGUCUAUCAUGUGGUUUAGCGCGUAGGCUCCAUAGCCUGACGAGAUCGGCAACCUUGUUGUAUAACUACCUCUCAUUCCAAAAGGACCCGUCAAACACCUGAGCAUUCCUUGCAUUCCAAAGGGCGACUGCGCAUGCUGUGAAGAGGACAUGCCACUUGGUGCCGUGUCGAGCCCGCGAGUGCUGCGAACACAAGAGAUCACCUGCUCCAAUAGAAGAUGAGGCAAGGUCUUGUACUCCAAGCUUGGACCAUAUGGCUUGAGCUAGCUUGCAUCUUAGCAAGAUGUGAUUCAUUGUCUCUGCGGCCGGGCAUAGAUCACACCCGUUAUGUGACACAAGUCUGUCCCAAUGCUUUUUUAGCAUAUUGUCUCUAGUGUUGUGUCUGUCCUGGAGGGCAAUCCACAAGAAAAUACGGUGCUUGUGCGAUAUGAUCCUGUCCCAGAUGUAUUUAGCUGACGGACAAAACUUCCCUCUAAAAGUGAGCAGUUUGUAGAAGUAUGCGGUGGUAGCAGAUUUGUCUCCCAAAAGAGGCACUAUGAUGUCUGGUGUACCUUCGUGUAGCUGAACAUUGCUCAAGCACGCAGACAUGUCCUCGAGCUCUUGUGUUGCUAUGGAAGAGAGGUUUGGAUGAAGUUGAAUGUUCCAUUGGCCAUCUCUAAACUGGGACGCAAAUGUGUAGAACUUGGACGCGGAGAAGGAGAAAAGAGUCGGGAAGCAUGUCACGAGUCGACCACACUCGAGCCAGUGGUCGUGCCAGAAGGCAGUACCCUGUCCGUCCCCAACCUUGCAUUUGGUAGCCUCCAUGACCAGACGCAAGGUGGACCUGAAGCCUCUCCAGAUAGCGGUGUCCCGAUUGUGAGGAGACCAGGAAAUUUCCUUGUGAAAGUAUGUGUGUGCAAACCAACUGUAGCAUGGAGCGUCACGCUGUUGCAAGAUCUUUGCCAUGAACUUGUAGACGAGGGCCCUAUUGUGUGCUGCAAUGUCUCUUACCCCCAACCCUCCAUGCUCUUUUGGCAAUGUGACCACUUCCCAAGCGACAAGGCAUUGUCCUCCCUUGGUCUGGUUCUUCCCUUGCCAUAAGAAGCCCCUUAGGAUUUGUUCAACCUUGUGUAGUGAUUGUUGUGGUCAUAGAAAACAGCCCGUGAAGUAACUGGGCAUCGCUGCCAGGACUGCAUUAACCAAAGUGAGGCGUCCCCCCCAAGACAGAAAGGUUGCAAGCCAGCCAGACAGUCGCUUGUCCACUUUGUGAAUUGUGACGCCCGGAUAAUUAAGCUACAGUAAAUCCCUGCUAAUGGUGCCACAUCAUCACAUUACUGUUGCUAAUCCUCACUUGAUCCAAAUCACUAUUCAUAUUCAAACUCAAAUUUAAAGUUAGCAUUCAAAUUUGCCAAACAUGAAAACUAAAAUGUUCAAAGUGUGGCAAAUAAUCCCUGGGUAUUUGUCAUGUUGGAACCAACCUCUUUUGGAUUUUUGAAAGUGCCCCUGGAAAUUAUUUAGUGGUCCAGCAUCAUUUGAAAUUGGCCUUUUCAAUUUCUAAAAAUGGCUAUACAACUCCUUUUGACCCCCAUACUUUUUGUUCCAUCGCAUUAUAUUGUGUUAGAAUUAUGCGCCAAGUUUUGUUGAAAACAAAACUCAUUUGUUACUAAAAGGAAAUGCAAAACGAAGAGGUUUAAAGAAAUGCAUCAAAAGAAAACUGACACUGUACAUCUGGGCUCUAAGUCCACAGUGCACAGCCCAGCCCACCUAUCCCUCUUCUCCUUCCUACUGCUCACAGGGAGCUCGGUGGCCUCACUUGUCGCGUCCACGCCGCGGAUCCUCCACGCGGUGGCCAUCCGGAUCUCCCUGGCAUCAACAAGACUCCCCCCUUGAUCCUGGACGAACCCUAGCUGCCUUAUCCCCUCUCUCUCGGUCGCCCCCUUCUCGACAGCACGCACCCGCCGCCGCCGUCAUCGUUCCCGCGCUCUUCGUCGUUCCGUGCCGCCAGCUGAUGUCCGGGAUGGAUCACCGUCGUCCUCUACGUCGCCUACGCGUAACCGUUCGAGCUCGGAGGCUCGAAAUCGCCGCCAUCAACCGCGUCAUCUUCUUCACCUGCGGCCACCGAGGCCUCCACCGUCGAUCCCCGGCUGUCCCUACCUCACCGUCUCCCCCGAGCCCUCUAAGUGCAUCUACAGGCUCACUAUGAGCUCCUCUCCACGUUUCCCCGCCUUUCCCCCUCGAUUUCGUCGUAGUUUGGCCGCGCCCACCGGGGCCCGUGCCCGUCCUGCUUCUGUACUACGCACCUGAACUCCAGCGCGCACAGCCGCGCUUUCCGCCCGUGCAUGGCCGCCCUCCUGCGCCCUCGUCUGCCUGCUGCUCUUGCUCUGUUGCCGCGCCGCUGAACACCACGCCGCGUGUGCCCGCGCUGUCUCGUACUCCUCGCCGUAGCUCGUCGGCCCCGCCGCUGCCGCUCGCCCUCCCACCUCUGCAUUCGGAGCGCGGCCCCUCCCCGGCCCCCACCUACUUCGCCCGCUGCCUGCUGCUGUCGCUGCAGCAGCAGCUGCGCCCCGCCGNNNNNNNNNNNNNNNNNNNNNNNNNNNNNNNNNNNNNNNNNNNNNNNNNNNNNNNNNNNNNNNNNNNNNNNNNNNNNNNNNNNNNNNNNNNNNNNNNNNNNNNNNNNNNNNNNNNNNNNNNNNNNNNNNNNNNNNNNNNNNNNNNNNNNNNNNNNNNNNNNNNNNNNNNNNNNNNNNNNNNNNNNNNNNNNNNNNNNNNNNNNNNNNNNNNNNNNNNNNNNNNNNNNNNNNNNNNNNNNNNNNNNNNNNNNNNNNNNNNNNNNNNNNNNNNNNNNNNNNNNNNNNNNNNNNNNNNNNNNNNNNNNNNNNNNNNNNNNNNNNNNNNNNNNNNNNNNNNNNNNNNNNNNNNNNNNNNNNNNNNNNNNNNNNNNNNNNNNNNNNNNNNNNNNNNNNNNNNNNNNNNNNNNNNNNNNNNNNCGCUGCCCCUUCGUCGGUUCGCCGCACACCGCCAAGCCCGCGCGCCCGCUGGCCGUUGUCGCGGCUCCAGCCGCCCUCCCUCGCGCCGUUCGCCGCCCACCGGCGUCUCGCCGUCCAGCCGCUGCCCCACGGCGAUGCCCGGGUUCGGCUCCCCCAGGGCUCCUUUCGCCUAUGCCCGCACGCCCAUUAACCCGCUCCCGGCUGGGCCUAUGACAUGUGGGCCCAGCCCCAAAACAAAGAGAACUAAAACUAAUUAAAUAGGUUAAUUAAUUAAUUAAAGAAUUAAUUAACUUAAUUGUUUUAGGUUAAUUAAUUUAACUUAAUUAACCUGUCUAAUUAACUAGCUAACUAAGUUAAUUAGCUAACAGUCAAUGACAGUGGGACCCCUCUGUCACUUUGACUGGUCAACAUGUCAAAGUUGACUACUGACAUCACUCUGACCUCAUGCAGACAUCAUUAUUCUUUUUCUGUCGAAUUUAGUAAUUACACAUAAUUUCAUAAUAUUCUUUAAACUUCAGAAAUUCAUAGAAAAUAAUCCGUAAGUCAGGUGAAAAAGUUUUAUAUAUGAAAAUUGCUCAAAAAAAUCCAAUGAUCCAAAUAUGCAACCCAUUCAUCUGUCACACGCCCCUAGCAUAGCGAACCUGCAACCGUCCCCCUCCGUUCCAACUGUCCGAAAAUGCCAAACUUCGAGAAAACCUUCCCAGAUGUUUUUCCCCCUUCGCCGGUAUCGUGUAGCCUUGCGUUAGUUCACCCCUAGCGCUGCUUUUGUCUUGUCAUGCAUAGUAUUGCACUUGUUUGCUUCAUACUUAUUGUUUCUUCCCCCUCUUCUCUCUGGUAGACCCGAAGCUUAAUAGACGUCAUGCGACUGAGCGGCGCGCGCCGGGUUGGACUGGUAAGCACCUGCCCUUUUAAGGAGGUAGCUAGGUCUGCUCACCGGCCGCCCAUGCAACGUGCAAGAGUUCCCGGGGCGAUGGCCCAUGACCCCUGGGGGCAUAGGUUUAGUCCGGUGUGUUGACCUCUCUAUUUGGCCUAGGUCAGGUUGCGGCGUAUCGUUUGGCCGAGGCCAGGCAUGACCCAGAAAAGUGUGUCCGGCCGGAGUUAGUGCACCCCUGCAGGGAAGAAAACAUCUAUCGAUAGCCUGUCCUACGGUAACGGACACUUGGAGUUGUAUCCCUAUUGAUACAACUAGAGCUGGAUCAUUGAGGUCAUAACUGGAUAGUAUGGCUCUGGGAUUGCUUUCUCGCAGGGAGUCGAGAAAGGAUCUCUGGCCGAGGUUGAUAACACUACUACUACUUUACUUUAUGCUACUCUUAUCUCUUCUAAUGCUGCAAGAUGCUUGGAGCCGCUUGAAGAUGCUAGUCUUCGAUAGGACUAGGCUUUCCCCUUCUUCUCUGGCAUUCUGCAGUUCAGUCCACAGAUACUACCCAUUUCAUUGACACCGAUGCAUAUGUAGUGUAGAUCAUUGCUUGCGAGUACUUUGGAUGAGUACUCACGGUUGCUUUGCUCCCCUUUUUCCACCUCUUUCCAUUCUCCUCGGAUGAUGCAACCAGAUGGUGGAGCCCAGGAUCCAGACGCCACCUUCAACGACGACUGCUACUACACUGAGGGUGCCUACUACUACGUGGAGGCCGCCGACGACCAGGAGCAGUUAGGAGGCUCCCAGGCAGGAGGCCUUGCCUUUUCGAUCGUUGCUGCUUUUGUGCUAGCCUUCUUAAGGCAUACUUGUUCAACUUAUGUCUAUGCUCAGAUAUAGUUGCUUCCAUUGACUCUUGUGUAUUCGAGCUGAUGUAUUCGAGCCCUCGAGGCCCCUGGCUUGUAAUAUAAAGCUUUUAUUAUUUUAAUUUGUGUCUAGAGUUGUGUUGUGAUAUCUUCCCGUGAGUCCCUGAUCUUGAUCAUACACAUUUGCGUGUAUGAUUAGUGUACGAUUGAAUCGGGGGCGUCACAUGAAUCACCGGCAUCAACAGGCCAUGUGUGAUCUUGUUGAGAGAGAGGGGUAAUCCCAGGUAUGUGCCCGGGAAAGCUGUCACUUGACAUUGCAGAACAUCUGCAAUACUCUGACAAGUCUGCGGGUCAAGGCAUACUGGCAUGAGAGUUGUCGUGGUUUUGUCACGGCAGAUGUCCUAGAGAAAGGACUUAGUCAUGGAGCCAUCGCUACGGGUUAGCUUAAAGGGGUUAAAGCGGACAAGGGACGCAAGAGAGUUUUAUACUAGUUCGGCCCCUUACGAUGAAGGUAAGAGCCUACGUCUAGUUGUGAUGGAAUUGAUGGGGUUUCGAUGACCAGGGAGCGAAUACGCUUUGCCUGAGUCUCGAGUUGUUGUCUGUUGUCCCUGAACCACCGCCGGGUCGUCCCCUUAUAUACAUGGGUUGACGCCCGUCGGUUUACAGAAUCCCGAGGUCGGCUCAUAAUCGUGUCUGGCUCGGUCUCUGCUACUUCUACCUUACAAUACAAGUUUACAUAUCAAUGCCGGUUUAUGUCUACAGGCCUUAAACCGGCUUUGGGCCCUGGGCCUCCAUAAAGCGUCACCGUCUGUCUUCAUGGGCUUCAGAUACAGAUGAACUACUUAUGGGGUUAACCCGGCCUCUCCUGGCCGGUUUACGCCCAGUGGUAAUAUCCCCAACAUUAGGCCCCAGAUUGAUUUGAACUGGUUCAUGUCAAUCCUCAAUACUUAAGAAAAUUUCUUCUUCAACAUCUUCACAUAAUCUUGUAAACCGCCGUGACAUCAUCUUCUAGGAUCAUGGUAAACCGCCGUGACGUCACCUGUCAUUAACAAGCCUCCGACAAUCGAGGCGACAGCUCCGCCUCAUAUCCAAAAUUUAGGCUCCUCAAUUUUCGCGCCUGACGCUUAUCUUUCUGCCCUUAUAAAUAGGACCGGGGGUUAUUUUCACUUUUCCCCUUCAUACCUCUUCACCUCGUCAUCUUCCUCGCGCCGCCCCAGCGUUUCGAGCUCAGCCGCCGCCGUCAAGCCUUCGUCUUUGACCUCAACUCCGGCCGCUGCAUCACACUGAUCGUGCCAGAGAAUCGCGACGCCACUCCGCUGUUCCAUCAGCAUCAGUAAGUCUUCUUUCUUUCCACCCCAGAUCUGCUACUAGGGUUUCAGUGUUCAACGGUGUUCUUCGGUGUUCGUCGGUAUUCAUUGCUGCGCAAUAAAUCCUGACUCAAACCUUGACUUUUAUCCGUAUAGCAAUAUCCAUAGUUCUUCUUUCCAUUAGUGCAUCUCAUCUAAGUAGAAAAUCUCAUCUGUAUCCUUCAACUAUUCAAGUACCAGAAUAUUUAACCCUGAAUAUUUUUCCACUUUCUGACGCGUGGUAGAUCCAGAUUUGUAAUACCAACUUGCAAAACCUAAUGUUCCAUCACUUAGUUAUUUCAGAUCUGUUCCUUCACUAUUAACGUAGGCGGUUUAACUUCGUAUACAAAAUGAUGAACUAUGUAGAUACCAUUAGUCCCCUGUUGAACCGCCAACGCAUUACACUGUUUCCAUUGUCAGACUCCGGUUUACGAAUAACCAAAUCCGGCUUAUCAGUAUGCUUGUAUCCUUAUACCGCUCUAUAGUUAUCCACUGUAAAUUUUAAACCGGCAAUAAUCAUGUUUCAGAUUUCCAUUGCCAUGGCCAAGCAAGUCUAUGAAUGCAAUUGGGCUCCUUCUUGAGUAACCGAAGAACAAUUGAACAAUCUUGUUAAAACGAGCGCUUUAGCCAAAAAAGAUGUCAUCCACUCGAGGGUCCCUGGCCCGGAAAAUCCUCCUACACCCAAGGACGGAGAGGUAGUUGUGUUUGCUGAUCAUCUUGGACGAGGUUUUAGCCCUCCCGGUUCAAAAAAUUUCCGAGAUGUACUAGCCAAUUUUCAGCUGCGUCCUCAAGACAUCGGUCCCAACUCUGUGACCAACAUCUGCCACUUCCAAGUCUUCUGUGAGGUUUAUCUGCAAGAGGAACCUACAGUCAAAUUGUUUAGGGAUUUCGUUCACUUAAACCGUCGCACAGAGUUCUCGGAUGGACCCAAUACGGAACUGGGCGGAAUGGCGGUUCAGAAAAGGAAAGAAGUCACCUUCCCUCAUCCCAAACUCCACAGUCACCCCAAAGAGUGGAACCAGACUUGGUUCUAUUGCAUGGAUACAUCUCCACCUGAUGAAAAAACCCUGCCCGGUUACCGCCCUGAACGCCUGAGCAACACACAUCCUUGUCCUCAGAGGUUGACUGCAAGAGAAAGGGCCAACUAUGCUCCUCAAUUGUCAAAGCUUAGAGCCUUCAUGGCAAACGGUUUGACAGGAGUUGAUCUUGCCCGUUGUUGGAUAAGCUGGAGUGUUCUUCCCUUAAGCCGGCGCCCCGGUUUGAUGUGUGAGUAUACGGGGAGUUUGAAGGAUGCUCAGCAGCACAUUGACAUUCAGCUUACAGAUGCAGAAGUCACUUAGGCUGUAAAAAAGAUACUGAACGAACCAGAGGCUGUCUGUGCCCAAACCGGACUACUCCCUUUCUGCACCUUCAACAAACCACUAGCUGUAAGAAUCAUAUAAUAUUUUUAUCUGAAGUUGCUUCUGUCCAAAUAUUCUCUGAAAGUGUGAUUAUUUUCUGACAGGGUGAUGAUCCGUUCUGGAACAAGAAACCAUCACAAGACAAACCGGCGAAGCCGCAAGACAAACCGGUCAAGCCAGUUCGUCCAAAGACCAAGGUUGUUAAAAAAACCUGCCAAGAAAAGGACCACUGCAUCCUCCGAUCUAUGAGCUGAUGACGAUGUGGGUAAUCCGGAACCAGAGGUAGAACUUGACUCUCUUGGUUCAUUUUUCGUACAUCUCAUUGACAAUGAUUAUUAUCAGAACGACACUGAAGGCAGUCAUGCUGAGGACGUAGAGGUAACCAUUCUUUCCUCCGAUUCAGAUCCACUGCCAACAUCCAAAAUCCGUCAAGCAAACCGGAAAGUAAAAUUUUCUCACCCUCUUGCUUACUUGGACCCAAACUUUCUUUUGAAGACGCAGCAGCACGAGGCUCGCCGUACAACCCGGCACAGCGGCCAGGUAGUUACCUCCGCCAGUUUACCGAACAGUCCGGUUCGGAAACGCCGAUCAGAGGUCUCUUAUCCCAUUGAUACUUCAUACCCCAAAGCAGGUUGUUUCUGCCAGCCUCUUAACCCGUCUGAUUCAAAUUAUCAGGGUACUUCUCACUCAUUUUCUGGCGAGUCAUCGGCCACACAGCUUCCACCCCUCAAAACAGUUCCUGGGUGAGCUAUGCACGUGUCUUUAUUCUUGAUGUGUUAUCUUUUUAUACUGUACUGAUCCUUAUGUCUAUCUUUUCUCAGCGCCAAGCCGAGACCCAGCAAGAAGGCUCGGUUAAGCAAACUGGCUGAUGAUAAUGUAGCUGUUGAACCGGAAAAAACUCCAGAUCCGGAAGAAACCGAUGCUGAUGACAUGCUUAAUGAUCCGCCGCCUCAAGACCAUGACUUCCUUGCCGAACAAGUGCAAGCUGACACUACAAGCCAUGCAGACCGGCUGACCAGCCCUGUCCGAACCUUUGACAAACCGGUCAGUCCAGUUAAGGAUACUGACAAACCGCCAACUCCAGAGAAGGCUGAUGAUGACCAAUAUGAUGACAUUAUGAUUACUGGCACUGUCCACACCACUCCUGGCAAUCCUGUUGCUUUGUCAAAGCAUACUGCCAAGGACGAUCUCUCUGCUAUCGGCAAAGGCAAAUGGAAUGCCGAUUUAUCAAGCUACGCCCAUCUCAACGCUCAAGACAUUCACUCUGGCUUCUUGAACCGUCUGUAUACCAGCCGUGAUUAUGAAGCUAGUUUGGUAAACUUGAUGAAGGAGCGAUAUGAGGUAACUUUCAUAAGUGUUUCUCUCUUAUACUUACUUGCAGCUUAUCAAAUCCAGUAGCCCCCCAAGUGACGGUUUAAGAUACCAAGUUAAACUGGGACUUAGUCACAAUUUCAUGUUUGCAACAAUGCAUCUUAACUUCACUGAUGUAGCCCCCAAGGGCCAGUUUAACUUUAUAAAGAUAAACCGGGACUUUGUAGAAGAAUUCCCAUAUCAGCAUUUUAUGAGCAAAUACACAUUAGCUCCCAAGUGCCAAGCUUAAUACUUGUAUUGUGCUUGGGACUUGUAAAAAUUUCUGAGUAAGAGCAAAUAUGCAUUAGCCCCCAAGUACUAAGGGCAUAACUUGUUAUGUUCUUGGUACUUCAAAUAUGUACUGUCAACUCAUUAUUAUCUGUCUCUUUAUAGGCUGAACUGAGCAAGAAGGAAAGCCAAACCGCUGAUAUGCAAGAGAACAUCAAGUCCCAACAGGCCGAAACUUCCAAAGCAAAAGAUGAGCUGACAAGCGCCUUAGACGCUAUGGAAAAGCUAAAGGAGAGCUUCGCCAAGGAGCGGGCGGAUUGGAACACAGAGAAAUCUGCUUUGCGGAAAAGAGCUGAAGACGCAGAAGCAGCUCUCAAACUGGUGGUAGACGAGCUGACUGGUGUAAAGCGGCAGAUACAUGCCAUGACUGCUGCUGUGUUCGGUAAGCAUCCUUGCUUUAUACUUUCAACAUAUCUUCCCAUGCGUUGCCGGUUUACUGAUGUUUGCCAUGAUGCAGGAACUCGCAUUAGUCAUCUGGGCUCUGAUGUUCAGAAGAAGCUGAAGGCUGCCUACACGCUGAUAGAGCAACUGUAUACCGGCGCACAACAAAUUAUCUGCACCGCUUCUCACAAUAAGCCGCCCGACGUUAAUCAAAGAUACCUUAGACAGGCUAUCUAUGCUGCCUGCCCGGGUAGAAGAGCUGAAGAGGUCUGCUGCAAGGGCUGGCGCUCUGACCGCACUAACCCGGGCAAAAGCAUGGGUGCCUGACCUUCAUCCGACGGACGUGGCUAAGGCUACCCAAGCUUAAAAGAAGACGGAUCAGAAUUUUGCACUGAAGAUCUCUGCGCCAUAAACCGGGAAGUACGUCCACUGGCUUGUCAACUUGCUGAAGAGGCUGAUCUUUCAUUUUACCAGGCGAGUUAUGAUACCAAUAACAAGCGGGUUGCCGCACCAACUCCCGAGGCUCAAAACCUGAUCCCUCCAAUCCGUAAGCACACUUAUGCCCCUGACAUUGAACCAUCCACCCUUAUAAGCGACGAAGCUGUGUUCCAAGCUUUAACUGGGAUCGACUGGACAACUGUUGACUUCCAGCCACUGGGUAGGGACGAAGAAGAUGAACCGGUGCAAGAUGAUCCGCAGCCGUCAGGUCAAGCUGAUAAGCAAUCAUAAUCCGGGGGCCGGUUUAGUUUUUUCACGUGCUGUAAUGCUUAUUGAGAAACAAUUAUCCCUUUGGGCACUGAAACGCCUUGUAAUAGGCUAGUUAAAACACUUGGUCUGUUAUGCCUUCGUGCAUAUUUAUCUGCAAUUGAUGCGUGCUAAUCCGCCAUGCUUAAGAUAUGAUGUUCAUAAUCCAUAGCUAUUUGUUCAAGUUGCUCCUGCAGAUAAGAAUCUUAAACCGCCCUGGCGGUUUACCACCGGGCGGGUCAUGAUACCCAAAUAUAUAUAUGACCAAGGUUUAUAACCAAGAUUGUAAAAGAUAACCAAAUAUGGAAAUAUAUGAUAGCUGUGACCUUUAGGGAUAGUGUUGGCUGACCAACUUUGUAAUGAGGGUAAUAACCCUAAUCCGGAGUAGAAAUAACUCCUGUUAUAUGAUGCGGGUUUAUCAGAAAACCGUUCCGGGCUAUGAUAAACACCGGUUUAUUUCAUACUGGUGACUUUGAGUCAAAACCAGACCGGGCUGAUAGUCUCUGGAUUAUAAUUUGAUCGUGUACUGACAACUUGUAGUUGACAACCUAACCGGGUUGAUAAACACCGGUUUAAAAAACAUCACAAAUCUUAUGAAAACAAAGAAAGCUUAGCAAAAGGCAAAUGAAAACCGUUGUAGUCGAGGCUUUUUACGGGCUGCCAGGCCCUAAAUUCAACAGCAAAGAAUCCCCAAGCAACAUUGUUAGCUGUGCUUAGUGGGUGCCUAUGUUUGAGCUGUUGUUUUACAACACUCUCUUUGGCCACGGACUGAUGUGGCUUUGAGCCGAUCAAGAGGUGUGACUGUGGUUCGGAUACGACCAAGCCCCCAAGUGAUGCUGUGGCAUUGCGCCGAUCAAGAGGUGUAGCUAUGGUCCGGGUUCGACCAAGCCCCCAAGUGAUGCUGUGGCAUUACGCCGAUCAAGAGGUGUAGCUAUGGUUCGGAUACGACCAAGCCCCCAAGUGAUGUUCUGGCAUUACGCCGAUCAAGAGGUGUAGCUAUGGUUCGGAUACGACCAAGCCCCCAAGUGAUGCUGUGGCAUUACACCGAUCAAGAGGUGUAGCUAUGGUUCGGAUACAACCAAGCCCCCAAGUGAUCUAAUAUGAAGCUUUGAGAAGCUAAAUCAAGGGGUAAACCGGACGCCGCUUUGUAAGCUCCAUGUAACCACACAUGAUGUAAGAAAAACAACAGAUACCCCGCUUUAGCUGAGGUUCCGGUUUAUUGUAUUGAUCAUAAUAUAUACAUUGUCAUAAUAUGUACAUAAGCAGAGCCUAUAGCUCAAGUAUAGUAAGGCCGAAGAUGAGCAAUAUUCCACGGCCGGUUGGUCUCCUCCUCCGAUUUACGUGAGUCUUUGCGCUCUCGAACAUCGAUUAGGUAGUACGACCCGUUGUGUAGAUUCUUGCUGACCACAAAGGGUCCUUCCCAAGGGGGGGAUAGCUUGUGCAUAUCCGUCUGAUCCUGGAUGAGCCGAAGCACCAAAUCACCUUCUUGAAAGGUUCUGGUUCUAACCCGGCGGCUAUGAUAACGACGCAGAUUUUGCUGAUAAAUCGCCGAACGGGCUUCCGCCAUGUCACGUUCCUCAUCUAACAGGUCAAGAGCUUCCUGCCAUGCCUUCUCGUUGUCAACUUCAACAUAUGCCGCUGCACGAGGUGAGUCAUGACGGAUGUCACUAGGAAGAACUGCUUCCGCUCCAUAAACCAUGAAGAAUGGUGUGUAUCCUGUCGAUCUGUUGGGUGUGGUAUUGAUGCUCCACAACACAUAAGGUAACUCCUCAACCCAACAACCCGGCGUCCGUUGCAAAGGAACCAUAAGCCGGGGUUUGAUGCCUCUCAAGAUCUCUUGAUUGGCCCUCUCCGCUUGACCAUUGGACUGGGGGUGAGCCACUGAUGACACAUCAAGCCGGAUGUGCUCACGUUGACAGAACUCCUUCAUGGCACCCUUUGACAGAUUGGUACCAUUAUCUGUUAUAAUACUUUGUGGAAAACCAAACCGGAAGAUCACCUUUUUGAUGAAUUGAACCGCCGUGGCCGCGUCACACUUACUAACUGGCUCUGCCUCCACCCACUUCGUGAACUUAUCAACCGCCACCAAAAGGUGGGUCUUUUUGUCCUUGGACCUCUUGAAAGGCCCAACCAUAUCCAGCCCCCAAGUUGCAAAUGGCCAGGUGAUAGGAAUCAUCCUCAAUUCUUGAGCCGGUACAUGAGUGCGCCUUGAAAAUUUCUGACAGCCAUCACAUCUUUUGACCAAGUCCUCGGCAUCAGCAUGAGCUAUCAACCAAUAGAAACCGUGACGAAACGCCUUGGCCACCAAAGAUUUUGAACCAGCGUGGUGACCACAAUCUCCUUCGUGGAUCUCACGUAAAAUUUCACGGCCUUCCUCAGGAGACACACAACGUUGAAACGCCCCUGUCACACUGCAAUGAUGUAACUCUCCAUUGAUAAUAGUCAUGGACUUGGACCGCCGGGUUAUCUGCCUGGCCAAAGUUUCAUCCUCUGGUAACUCGCCCCGGUUCAUAUAUGCGAGAUAUGGAACCGUCCAAUCCGGGAUAACAUGAAGAGCUGCCACCAACUGAGCUUCCGGAUCAGGAACGGCCAAAUCCUCUUCACCAGGGAGCUUGAUGGACGGAUUAUGCAGAACAUCCAUGAAGACAUUAGGUGGAACCGGUUUACAUUGGGAACCCAGGCGGCUUAAAGCGUCCGCCGCUUCAUUCUUCCUCCGGUCCACAUGAUCCACCUGAUAACCUUUAAAGUGACCUGCAACAAUAUCCACCUCAUGACGAUAUGCUGCCAUGAGUGGGUCCUUGGAAUCCCAAGUGCCGGACACUUGUUGAGCCACCAGAUCCGAGUCACCGAAGCAUUUAACUCGGCUUAGGUUCAUCUCCUUAGCCAUCCGAAGAGCAUGGAGUAAAGCCUCAUAUUCAGCUGCAUUGUUAGUGCAAGGGAACAUUAAACGGAGAACAUAACAAAACUUAUCACCUCGUGGGGAAGUUAAUACGACUCCAGCCCCCGAGCCCUCCAAUUGCCUGGACCCAUCAAAAUGAAUAGUCCAAUAAGUGUGAUCCGGCUUCUCCUCUGGCGCUUGUAAUUCUGUCCAAUCAUUGAUGAAAUCCACAAGUGCCUGAGAUUUGAUCGCCGUUCGGGGUAUGUAUUUCAACCCGUGAGGCCCGAGCUCUAUAGCCCACUUAGCAAUCCGGCCAGUUGCUUCCCUGUUCUGGAUUAUAUCUCCCAACGGAGCAGAACUGACCACCGUGAUGGGAUGACCUAGGAAAUACUGCUUGAGCUUCCGGCUUGCCAUAAAAACCCCAUACACCAAUUUUUGCCAAUGCGGGUACCUCUGCUUAGACUCAAUAAGUACCUCACUGAUAUAGUAAACCGGCCGCUGAACCGGAUAUUCCUUUCCUGCCUCCUUGCGCUCCACCACAAUAGCCACACUAACAGCCCGAGCGUUAGCUGCCACAUAUAGCAACAAUGGCUCUUUGUCAACCGGAGCAGCGAGAAUCGGCGGAUUAGCUAGCUGCCGCUUUAAGUCUUCAAAUGCUUCAUUAGUAGCGUCACUCCAGACGAAGUUAUCCGUUUUCUUCAGCAUCUGAUACAAAGGGAUGGCCUUCUCGCCAAGGCGACUGACAAACCGGCUCAACGCGGCAAUGCGGCCUGCCAGGCGUUGAACAUCAUUGAUACACUUCGGUUUAGCCAAGGAGGUGAUGGCUUUGAUCUUUUCCGGAUUAGCUUCAAUGCCCCUGUUAGACACCAAAAAGCCCAAGAGCUUGCCUGCGGGUACACCAAAGACGCACUUGGCCGGAUUAAGCAUCAUUUUAUAAACCCGCAGAUUAUCAAAGGUUUCCUUCAAGUCAUCAAUCAAUGUCUCCUUCUUCCUUGAUUUUACCACAAUAUCAUCCACAUAGGCGUGAACAUUGCGGCCGAUCUGUUUAUGAAGACAAUUCUGCACACACCGUUGAUAAGUCGCCUGGGCACUCUUGAGCCCAAAAGGCAUGGACACAUAGCAGAAGGCUCCAAAGGGAGUUAUGAAGGCUGUCUUUUCUUGGUCCUUAACUGCCAUUUUGAUCUGAUGAUAACCAGAAUAUGCAUCCAAAAAGCUUAAACGCUCGCAACCCGUCGUAGCAUCAAUAAUUUGAUCAAUACGGGGAAGAGCAAAAGGAUCUGCUGGACAAGCUUUGUUAAGAUCUGUGUAGUCUACACACAUACGCCAAGUGCCAUUCUUCUUGAGGACCAGCACCGGAUUAGCCAACCACUCAGGAUGGAAUACUUCAACGAUAAAUCCAGCCGCCAAGAGCCUGGCUACUUCUUCUCCAAUAGCUUUGCGUCUUUCUUCAUUGAACCGGCGGAGAAACUGCUUGACCGGUUUAUACUUAGGAUCAACAUUGAGAUUGUGCUCAGCGAGUUCUCUCGGUACACCAGGCAUGUCAGAAGGCUUCCAUGCAAAGAUGUCCCGAUUCUCACGGAUGAACUCAAUGAGCGCGCUUUUCUAUUUCGGAUCCAAGUUAGCGCUGAUGCUAAACUGCUUGGACGAAUCGCCAGGCACGAAGUCAACAAGCUUAGUCUCAUCAGCCGAUUUAAACUUCAGGGCCGGAUCAUGCUCUGUAGUUGGUUUCUUCAACGAAGUCAUAUCUGCCGGAUCAACAUUGUCCUUGUAAAACUUCAACUCUUCUAUUGCACAAACCGACUCAACAUAAGCCGCAUCACCUUCUUCGCACUCGAGAGCAAUCUUGCGGCUCCCAUGCACAGUUAUAGUUCCCUUGUGACCCGGCAUCUUGAGCUGCAGAUAGACAUAACAAGGUCGUGCCAUAAACUUAGCAUAAGCUGGCCGUCCAAAUAGGGCAUGAUACGAGCUUCUGAUUUUCACCACUUCAAAGGUCAAGGUUUCUGAUCUCGAGUCAUGCUCAUCUCCAAAAGCCACCUCCAGAGCUAUCUUACCAACAGGAUAUGCCGACUUACCAGGCACCACAGCAUGGAACACCGUAUUGGACGGUUUAAGAUUUUUAUCUGUUAACCCCAUGCGACGGAAAGUUUCAUAAUAAAGGAUAUUGAUACUACUCCCUCCAUCCAUGAGUACCUUAGUGAACUUAUAACCUCCCACCUGAGGUGCCACCACCAGAGCCAGAUGACCCGGAUUAUCAACCCGGGGCAGAUGGUCUUCUCUACUCCACACAAUCGGCUGCUCGGACCAGCGCAAAUAACGGGGCACCGCCGGUUCAACGGCAUUCACCACCCUUUUAUGAAGCUUCUGAUCGCGCUUGUCCAAGCUAGUGGUGAAGACAUGAUACUGUCCGCUAUUCAACUGCUUCGGGUUGCUCUGGUAACCCGACUGUUGCUGCUGCUGCUGACUGCCCUGAUGAUUAUAGCCACCUUGGUUACCCUGAUUACUUUGAUUGUUAUGUCCACCCUGAUUACCGUGAAAACCUGAACCAGAAUUUCCUCCGCCAUAACCCGGCCCAUGAGACCCGGGGCCCGAACCGCCUCCUGGUCCGUGAUCAUACUGGAAAGAAUCAUAAUUUUUGAAUUCUUGCAUGAUGUAACAAUCUUUCCAGAGGUGCGUGGACGGUUCCUCCUUCGUACCAUGCUUUGGACAUGGCUGGUUCAACAGAUAAGACAAACGGUCCGGAUUGGGACUUGGCCCUCCACCGCGCCGGGGCGGUUUACCCUUACGCCGCUUGCCCUUAUCAUGUGUAUUAGUAUUAGCCACAAAGUCUAAACCGUGGUCCGCUUUACGCUUUCCGCCGUUUCCAUGACCCACCGGGUUGUGGUGCUGCCCCUUGGCGUUGCCGCUCUUCUUUCCCUUCCCUGUCUUAUCAUCGUCAGACUCGGGAUCCUUGGUACUAUCAGAGUCGGCAUACUUCACCAGUGCAGCCAUGAGGGUUCCCAUAUCAUUACAAUGACGUUUGAGCCGUCCCAACUUCAACUUCAGUGGUUCAAACCGGCAGUUGCCUUCCAAUGUUAAAACUGCGGUGUCAGCAUUGACGCGGUCUGAUGAAUGCAAAAUCUCCGAAACCCGGCGCACCCAGUGGGUUGUUGACUCUACUUCCUCCUGGACACAGGCAGCUAAGUCCACAAUCGACAUGGGCUGCUUGCAUGUAUCCUUGAAAUUCUGAAUAAACCGGGCUCUCAACUCGGCCCAUGACCUGAUAGAAUUAGCCGGUAAGCUCUUUAGCCAAGUGCGGGCCGUCCCUUCUAGCAUCAUGGUGAAGUAUUUUGCACAUGCCGUAUCAUCCACAUCCAGCAUCUCCAUGGCCAUCUCAUAGCUUUCGACCCAUGUUUCAGGGGAUAAAUCGGCGGUGUAAUUCGGCACCUUGCGCGGGCCCUUGAAAUCCUUGGGCAGGCGCACAUUACGCAACGCUGGGACAAGACAUGGCACUCCCAAAGAACUAGAGGUAACUCCUGGUUCCACCGAUGUGGUUGGACGAACCGGAGUAAGCUGACGGGCUUCAUGCUGUGCCGCUAACUCGGCCUCUCUGUGUGCCCGAGCCCGGUCCACCACCUCCUGAGCAUCACCAGCACCACCCGUCGGGUUAUUGCCACGGGGCGGAUCACGGUUCCGUGCAUUGCUUGACACUGCCGGUUCAUCCAUACGCCUGCUGUAACUCCGGCUUGGACGGGGAGUGGAAUGAAUCCGAUCGCGGCUGUAUGAAUAAGCCUCCUAUUGAACCAAAGCUGUCUGAAGAAGCUCCUUAACCCGACGCGUCUCGACCGCCACCGGAGAAUCGCCUUCGAUCGGGAUGGCCGCCAGCCGUGAAGCGGAAGCGACAAUGUUGUCCAUCGGGUUAGAAUAAUGACCCGGUGGCGUGGGGACAUGCGGUGCUACAAUGUUGUUCUGACGAGGCGGAUCCACCAAACGUGGCUGAACCGGCGCUCCUGCUCUAGGUGCCUCCGCCCGGUUUACCACCGGCGGAUUACUGGUCCCUGCUCCUGGGGUGUUAAAGAGAUUUCUAGUGCCAUAAACCGGCGGCAGGCGAGAUCGGUGCCUCCUCUUCAGGACUUCGUUCGACGCACUCUGAUCCAGCAUAAUCCGGUAAGCUUGUGCAUCCAAAGCGGCCCGCUCCGCGGCUAUCCUGGUAUCCUCAGCUGCUAAGUCGGCUUUGGCCUGGGUGAUCUGAUCUUUCACUUUUGCGAUUUCCGCAUUGUGCGCAUCCUGAUCGCCGGGUUAACCUCCGCCAUCAGCGUUGUCAAUGCGUCAAACAAAUCAAUAGAACCUGAGCUGGCGAUCGCACAGGGCCUCCUGCCCCGGCUGCUGCUGCCGCUGCCGAUCCGGAAAUCAUCGCCGCUGCGGUCGAAGAGUGGAGCGCCGGUUGCGUACCGGCCAUGAAGAUCGCAACCCGGUUUGGCAGAUCAGAGGGGUCCGGAAUAUUGUCGCCAUCGGAACAGCCCCCAAUCCGGCCAUCUUGUAACUGAUAUAACAACUCGAUCUCUCCGGUCGAUGACUCGUCGCCGGAAUAAACGACGGUCUCACCACCAGAUCCGAUCUAUUCUCAGAUUCCCCUCCAUGGAUAACUCCCACGAAGGCAUGCUUCAUGACAGGCUUGACCCGGGCAGAUCUCGCACGCUGAGCCGUUUCGACGAGGUCGGUGCAGAUGUCCGGCUCAGGGCCCGGUUCGCCGAUCUUGCCAACGAAAACGUGUAUGCCACCAAAGGGGACCCGGUACCCGUACUCGAUUGAGCUGGCCUCGGGCCCCAGCCUGCAUCGUCGAUGUAGAGCUUGCCGCGACGACUCUUAGUCAUCCGGCCCACAGCGUAACCCUUGAGUCCUUCGAAGUUGCCCUCCAAGAACUUGAAACCAUCGUGCGAUAGCCCCACGGUGGGCGCCAACUGUCGUGGUUUUGUCACGGCAGAUGUCCUAGAGAAAGGACUUAGUCGUGGAGCCAUCGCUACGGGUUAGCUUAAAGGGGUUAAAGCGGACAAGGGACGCAAGAGAGUUUUAUACUAGUUCGGCCCCUUACGAUGAAGGUAAAAGCCUGCGUCUAGUUGUGAUGGAAUUGAUGGGUUUUCGAUGACCAGGGAGCGAAUACGCUUUGCCUGAGUCUGGAGUUGUUGUCUGUUGUCCCUGAACCGCCCCCGGGUCGUCCCCUUAUAUACAUGGGUUGACGCCCGUCGGUUUACAGAAUCCCGAGGCCGGCUCAUAAUCGUGUCCGGCUCAGUCUCUGCUACUUCUACCUUACAAUACAAGUUUACAUAUCAAUGCCGGUUUAUGUCUACGGGCCUUAAACCGGCUUUGGGCCCUGGGCCUCCAUAAAGCGUCACCGUCUGUCUUCAUGGGCUUCAGAUACAGAUGACCUACUUAUGGGGUUAACCCGGCCUCUCCUGGCCGGUUUACGCCUAGUGGUAAUAUCCCCAACAAGAGUGCUCUUGUGGUAAUUGAUCUUAAGUCCCGUGAAAUCACUGAAAGCCUGUAGAACUCGUUUGAUAACCCGUGCUUGUUGGAUGUCCCCUUCCAUCAUGAUCAACGUGUCGUCCGCAUACUGCAGGAUCGGGAAGGGGCCGUCGGCUCCAAGUGGGUGUUUAAGGUUCCCUGCUUGGUGCUCCCUUUUGCAGAGCUAUUGCAAAACAUCAGCUGCCAGGAUGAAGAGGUAGGGAGAGAGGGCAUCCCCCUGCCUUAAACCACUUCUUGAUACAAUCCUCUCCCCAAAAGAUCCAUUGAUUAUUAUCCUGGACGAACUAGUUGAUAGGAUAUCAUGUAUCCAUUUGACCCAUCUGCUUCCAAAAGCUCUGGCUGCAAGGAUGAGCUUUAGAGCAUCCCAGCUGACACUGUCAAACGCUUUCUGGAAAUCUAACUUGAGUACUAGCAUUGGCCUUUUCCUCUUCUCGGCCUGCUGAACCAGUUCGGCUGACAGUGCAAAAUUUUCAACUAUGUAUCUUCCAGGCAGAAAACCAGACUGUAGCGGGUGUAUGAGGCUCGGGAUGAAACUUUGCAGUCAGACAGCUAGAACCUUUGUUGCAAGCUUGGGUAUACUAUGAACCAAAGCGAUGGGCCUAAAAUUCCUAAUAUCCGUUGGGUUCUCUUUCUUCGGGAGCAACACAAUAUUGGCAGUGUUGAUGCCGCUCAGAUCACUGCCAUGGUCAUAGAAAGCUUGAAAAAACAUCAUUAAGUCCUCCUUUAGUAGCCCAAUGAAGCUCUUGUACAACUCAGUAGUGAAGCCAUCAGGCCCCGGGCUCUUAUUACUCGGAGCUUUCUGAAUAACUGCUGCAAUUUCGGCCCAGGUGAAAGGCACUUCCAACGCGCUUAGGUCAGCCAAGUCGUAUAAGUUCCUGGGGUCCAAAGUUGGCAUUGACAGAGAUUGCUUGCCGAAGAUAUCGGUGAAGAACUGAGUGGCAAUUUGAAGCUUGUCCUGAUCCCUGUAAAACUCUAUGCCAUCUUUAACCAGUAGUUUAAUUUUGUUUUUCCUGUGUUGACAGUUGGCGGCUGCGUGGAAAAACUUAGUGUUCUCAUCUCCCAGGGUGUAGCCUCUUAUUUUGGCUCUUCCCCUCCAAAAACUGGACUGCCGUAGAAUUAUUUGCUGUGUUUUUGAGUUGGCAUGGUUCCUGAGAGAGGCCUCCAGCCUAGAUAAAUGUCUUCUCUCCUCCAUGGAGUCAAGGUACUGAACAACGUGAUGGCAGUUGGCUAGAGUGUCUUGCAUGGGUGAUUUCUUGCGUUCCCAAGCCCUGAUAGCAGCUCUUGUCCUUCUUAGUUUGAAAUUAAGCAGAGUAGCGGCUGACGCGAGCUGUCUGGUUCCUCUUUCCCAGCUUUGCGUUAUCAGAUUUCUAACUUCUGGAAUGUGCAACCAGUGGUUUUCAAACUGGAAGAAAGGGCUUCUCGGUGCCUCCCUUGAGAAGUCCACAACAAUGAGCGUGUGGUCUGAAGUUGUAGCAGAGAGGGCAGCAGCGGAGGUGUCGAGGAAACCUAGGUUCCAUUCUGCGUUGACAAGCACUCUGUCGAGCUUUACCAGAGUUGGCUCCAUUCUCUUGUUGGACCAUGUAAACCUUCUGUUGGCAACUUCAAUAUCGUCAAGAGCAUGGUCUCUGAUCCAUGCGUUGAAUCUGUCCAUCAAGGCCCAAUUCUUCCUUCCUUGUGAUUUUUCGUGCUCGAAUCUGUACAUGUUGAAGUCCCCUAUGAUGAUCCAGGGCCCCGUUACAUGCUCUGCCGUGUGGCUCAUUACCUCAAAGAACUCAUCCCUCUCAGCUUCGGCGCACGGGGCAUACACAAUGGAGAGGACGAAGCUGUCGCUGUUGCUCCUGGACUGAAAACUUGCAGAAAUAGUGAAUCUGUGCUUUAAAAUUUCCGAGCCUGAGACGACACUGUCAUCCCAAGCCAAGAGCAGGCCUCCAGCUGUUCCAUUGGCCGGCAUGUAUAAGAAGGAUCUUUGAGUUGUGGGGAGGAAGGAGGCUGCCUUGAUCGUGUCCACGACCUGCAAUUUAGUCUCCUGCAGGCAAACAACACUCGGGCGACUAGCAAGUAGUGCAUAUUUGACCAGAGAGCAUUUGUCAGAGUCGCCAAGCCCUCUAACAUUCCAAUUAGCAAUCCGCAUGAAGGAAAAAAGAACACUUGACUAAAAGAGAAAUAACCAUGGUAGUGAGAGAGACCAGAUGAAAGAUUUGACUGAAAUAGGUGAAGUGCUGCUCAGAAGAGCUUACAUAGCUUAGAAUGCAAACGACAGUGGAAGGGAGACAUGUAGCACAAUGCGGAGACAUGUAGCACAAUGCAGAUACAUAGCCCAACAGGACCAAACACUAGAUGGAUGAACUACGAUACAAUGCAGAUGCAGAAGUAAACAACCCUUGGGAGAGGUUCUAACUAACAUGCAGAUGCCAGAUACAACACUACUCAACAUCCUGGUAGACUUAUUCAUGAGCAGGUCCGGUUGACGCGGAGGAACCAGUGGCAGCACCUGACGCAUCAGAAGAGGACGAGCUUGCGUCCGUGCAGAUUGCUUCGAAGUUCAGGUCACAGUAGCGGGCGAGCAGCUUGGCCUUGCCCCUGGUCAGAGGCAUUGGGGUGACUUGGAGCGGCAGUUCGACGACCGAGUCCGCCUUGACGAUCUUGCUCUUCUUCCGCCCCGAGGAGCGGCGGCGGCUGCCCUCCCCUGCAGCCGGGCUGACGGAAGCCUUGCGUUUGGAGGCGCGCUCGAUGGGGUCGAUGCGGAUCCCGUCAUACAGCUGUCGAAUGCGCGGGCUCCGGCGGGGGGAGGCGGCGGGGGCGCUUGGGGCCAGAUCCGCCGUCGCCUCUGUGGCCUCCGCCGCUCCAGCGGCCUCUGCCGCUGCCGCCGUAAGCGCGACCGACAGGGGCGGCCCCGGUGUUCCUACUGGAGCUGGGUGUGUGGCGGUGGCGGCCGCGGCCGGGGGGUCCAGGAGUUGCAGGGUGGGUGGGUGGCUCUGUUGGUCGGCGGUGGUGGGUGGGAGGGAGGGAGCACGGGAGUUGCAGAAGCGAGUAGCAACUUCAAGAGGCAUAACUGCGCAGGCUCCGUGCUGCAUAUCAGUGCAUGCGAUAGGCGAGAGAAAGCCCACGGGCAACAGGCGAACUAUUCAGAUAUAUAAAAUAUCAGCAAUCGUAUUCAUGGUUCAAAAGAUACCACUCUCCAAAAAAUUCACUACACAUGUACUAGUUGGUCGGAGAGACAAGUAGGUGUGAACUACUAUUCAAAUGAGAGAAGAGGUGAUGUUGGAGGCAAAAGGUGGUCAGAAGACAUGGGCAAAAGAUGCCAGAGUAACCUACUAGAAUGAAUACAAAAGAGCACAACAAUACUAUAACCAAUACAUAACUGCAUGGUCACGACUCACGAAUCUCCAAUGGAUCAAGGGCUCCUGCACGCAUGAGACCUCCUGUGCACGGCAGAAUUCCUUUUUCUCCUGAUACUUGCUUUGUUGCCGUGCGCGCGCUCGUCGUUGCUCUCCCAAAACGGAGAGCGCCUAUUCGGCGUGUAUCCGUGUUGUGGGCCCGCUCAAUAAUUCUCCCCGCUGGAUCGAUCUCGUUCACCAGUUUCACGUUCAAUGGUUGUGGUUUUCGCUCACUUCUUGUUUUUUCACUCUCGUCUGCUGGUACUUUUUUUUGCGGGUGUCUGCUAGUACUGUUGGUCUGCAAUCUCCAAUCUCAGGGAAAAAACCACCGGUUUUUCUGUUAGUUUUCAAAACAUCGGUGAUAUCAAAUAAUAUUCAUGGGUUUUAAAAAAAAUCAGGAAUUUGAAAAUGUUUACGGAUUUGAAAAAAGUUCCCGGUAUUUGUAAAAAAAAGUUUGCAAACGAUUUUUUUAAACACGAAUUUGGAAAGCAAAAUCAUGAAAUUUUAGAUAGUUUGCGGGAUUCAAAAUAUUACACGAAUUUGAAAAAAAUCAUGGGCUCCGUAGAUUAAAAAAAAUCACGGAUUUAAAAAAAUCACAGAUUAAAAAAAUUUCAUGAAUUUGAAAAACAAAAUUGGGUUCCAAAACAGUUCACAAAUUUUAAAAAAGUUUUCUUCUUCUAUGGACUCAAAAAACCUUUACGAAUUCAGGGAAACAUUCAUAGGAUUCAAAAUACUUUAUGUAUUUCAAUAUUUUUGUGGAUUCAAAAGGGUUCAUGAAUUCCAAAAAUCUUAUAAAUUUCAAAAAUGCACGUGGAUUUAAAAAAUCAUGAACUCGAAUUUGUUUCAUGAAUUUGAGUAAGUUUUGAAUUUAAAAUUUUCACAAAUUUGGAGAAGAACGGAGAAAAAGGUAAAACAAAAAAGAGGACAAAACGAAAAAAGAAAAAUCAAACAAAACCCAUCAAGUAAAAAUUACAGAAAACCACCCAAGAAAACCAAGAAAAAAACGAACUCGUGCGAUGUGAACGAGAAAGUGUAUUACCAUGCAUGGGCCUGACCAUUACAAUAAAACCCGCUUCAUGGGGAGUGUGCGCCUUUUACCAGAAGCACUAUAACCAGCACUUAAGGCGUCAAAUAGGAACCAGCCCGAAUAAGAAGCGACAGGACAUCUCAGAACGUGCAAUGCGCACGCUUAGGAUGUGUUUGGUUACCUGCAUCAUUUUUAGGCACUUCGCAUACUUGUCCCAGUUAGGCCUGGUUGAGCUAAUGCAGGCAAAAAACCAACAUCUGCAUGAUGUUUGAUUGCCUGCAUAUAGGCUACCUACAUUAAGGGAGCAAUUUUGGCAUGGCGUUUGGUUACGUGCAUUGACUAGGCCGAUGCAAGUGCGCGGUGUUUGCUUGCAUACAGACAACAUGAUUAAGAGUUAACACCUACACAUGACACACAGAGUUACAGUGGCAGUGUGCUUGCAAUGGGGGCCUCAGUGUAGGCCGCGGGCGAGGAGGUCGACCGGGCGUUGUCAGCGGCGGCAGCGGGCACAACAUGACGUUCAUCCGGCAAGGUUGACGAUGAUUAGUGAGAAUAGAGUUCCUCGGUGAAUGCAGUGGAUGGUGGCCGCGGCUUCGCGUCCGGCGCGACGAGCAUGGAGCCGCGGGCGAGCGAUCUCGUCGGCAGGGAACCAGUUGCUAGCAUCGCUGCCGCGGAGACGGUCCAUGGGGAGAGACGAAUAGGAGGACGUUAGAGGCAGAGGUCAAGGAGGAGAAAUGGCGUGUGCGCGGGUCAUGAUGGUGUCAGUGUAGGAGGAAGAGGGAGGGGAGGCCGAAAAGAACGACACCAGCGACGAUGGCAGUGUUGUAGGACGAGGGAGAGGAGGCAAAAAGAAACAGUAUCGAUGAGGCAACGGCGGCGCCAAUGUUGUAGGACGAGGGAGAGGAGGCCAAAAGGAAUGACACCGCGAGAGGAAAAAUUAGAAGGGACUAGAUAAAGAAGAUUAGACAAUAUCAUUGAAAUAGACCAUACAUACAUGCCCGAACCUGAGGGUGGGCGAGAGGGGGGCUGCCUCUUGCCCCCAGGACCAAGGGGCCCCCAUCCCAAGUGAGUGCGAGCACCCCUCCCGAGCUGCCCUACUCAUAGCCAUUGGAGCAAAGCUGUUCUUCAAUCUGUACUUCGGUGUCUCCCCGAGGGGCGCCCCUAUGUCUCGCUUUAAGCGAGACACAGGGAACCUCUAGCAUCAGGAGAGCCUCAGAUGGCCGGCCCAACCAAGUGGGAGGCCACGGCCUAUUUUUUGUUGUUGUUUUGUUUUGUUUUUUUCUAUUAUCAUGUUUUGCUUUAUUUUUGUAAUUUUCUUUAUACUUUAUAAUAUUCUACAUAUAUAUGUAUAUAUUACAAAAAACACACUUCAAAAAUACAUUUGAAAAAUGUUGAACAGGUAUUAAAAAAAUGUUGAAUCAGAAUUUGUAACAUGGUGAACAAGUAUUUGAAAAUGUUGAAUAAGGAAAAAUGUCGAGCAAGUAUUUGAUUUUUUUAAUAAUUAUUAGAAAAUAUUGAACGAGUAUAUAAAAAAUCUUGAACAAGUAUUUGAAAAUGUUGAAUAAGUAUUAAAAUGUUUUAAAAAGUAUGUGAAAAAUUGUUGAACAAGUAUUUAAAAAAGUUGAAUAAGUAUCAAAAUGUUGAGCAAGUAUUUGAAAAAUACUCCCUUCGUUUCUUUAUAUAAGGUGUAUUUAUUUUUGAUAAAAUUUCAUAAUGCAAGGUGCAUUUCUUCUAAUUCCUCAUAAUUUCCUUGUUAGCCCUGCAGAAAAAGAGAAAGUAUCUCUCUCGUGGUUGUCUGUAUCUCUUCUUCUAGAAAAAGAAGAAAAGUAUCUCUGUGUCGAUUGCAUGUAUCUUUUACUUUCCUGGACGAACCGAUUUACUUGCCACUAACCAGCAAAUUUGCCAAGGAUAGUUUUAUCUCAACAUGUCUAUAAUUCUGUGCCUUGGUCACCGUGCCUAAAAUAAUACACCUUACAUAAAGGAACGGAGGAUAUUGAAUAAGCGCUCGGACAAUGUUGAACGUGUAUACAAAAAUUUUUGAUCACUUAUUUUUUUUGACAUAUACAAAAAUGUAGACUGAAAAUGAAAACAACCUAAGAAAAAAUAAAAUAAAAAUAAAAAAUAGAGAAGAAAAAGAAAACCAAACAAAAAAUGAAGAAGAAAAACGAAUGAAGGCAAUAAAAACAAAUGAAAAUUAAAAAGAUCCAAAUAAACCAAUGCAAAAAGAAUGAAAACAGAUAAAUAAAUAUAGAAAAACAAAAAAAACCGAUGAAAGUGUGAAAGAAAGAAACAAAAACCUAAGAAAGCAAAGAAAAAAAGAAAAAAGCCAGUGAAAAUAGAGAAAGAAACAAAGAAAACCGAAGAAAAACAGAGAAAAACAAAAAAGUAGAAACAGAGAAAUAAACAAAGAAAACCCAAAAAAACAAAAACAAAAAAAACACAGAAAAAAUAGUAGAAAACCCGACGUCCAUACGUCAAAUAUAACACACCUUCUUACUUUGCACGAACAGGCUCGUGGCUGAGUGGCUAGCAGCUAUACCCAGGAGACCUGGGUUUGAUAUCUGGUACUCCCUUUUUGCGCGGGAGCUAAUGGGCCGACACGUUACCAUCUUGCUUCAGGCGAGUGCUUCGUUUCAUCUCGAACAGUCUUUUUUUUAAGACAAUCUCACCAAGCUUUAUGCAGAAUCCAACAUGUUUACAUGUAAAAGGUGAAACUCUCCCGGUUGGCCCAACCAAACAUGGCGUCCAAACCCGAGGUUUAAAGCAUACUCAGCGAGAUUGUGAGCCUCGAAAUUCAAGCUCCUAAACUCAUGAACUAUGUUACAAGAAUUGAAAAGGCUAGAACGACCCAUAAUUUCAUGUACAAUAGCUCCGUACUCCGACAUCGUAUUCUUCCCAAUAUCAUUAACUACUGUCCUGCAAUCUGAUGCUAUAUGAAUUCUGUUGACAUAUAAGUCCUCAGCCAGGGCUUGCCCUUCUCUGAUCGCCAGUGCCUCCAAAGUAGCUGCCGCUGUAAUGCCCUUGACUUUGAUAACUGAAGAUUCCAGAAACUUCCCUUCCCGAUCACGGCACACAGCUGCCGUCGUACCAUAAGAUCCCUCUGUCACAACGGCCGCAUCCGUAUUUAUUUUCACAAAGCCCUCUGGUGGUCUCAGCCGCCGGUCGCGCCUCGAUCUUCCUCGUCUGCUUUGUUGUAUCCUUUUCCAGAACCUGAAUAUCUCUGAGAAAAGCAUUGACAAAAGAAUACGUCGUGAACGGGCUUUCAAAAAUAUCUUCAUGUACUGCUCUUCUCUGGGCUCGCCAUAUCGCCCACAAGGUUACCACCACCCGGGUGAAUUCCUCGUGCGAUAACGCUUCAUGGAUUGUGAACAUCCAAUUCUUCGCAUUCAUAGACAGAUUAUCUACCAUAAUUUGCACUCCUUCUUCUGAACUUAGAGACCAUAUACUUCUUGCCAUGACGCAGUCUAUCAGUGCAUGCUUGCAGCUAUCCUCAGCUGCGCAGAAAGCAUAGAUCUUUGUGCUAGACAUAUUCCGGUGAUGUAAUAGAUCUCUUGUAGGAAUAGUUUCAUGGAACAGUCUCCAAACAAACAUCUUUAUUUUUGAUGGGAUUUUCAUAUUCCACAACGAGGUCCACGCCUUUUCCUCCUCUAUGUUCUUUGAAUGGCCACCUACAGAUUGUAAUAGCUCUUCAUUGUUUCUUUUCACACCUGCUAGGAAAAAGUACACAGAUCUAACUAAGAAAAAGCGUCUUUUAUCUUCUCCCCAAGCCCAAAAAUCAUCCACUCUCCUUGUACAAAGUGGAAUGCCCAGAAUAAUAUCCGCAUCUACUGGGAGAAACACCGAUCGGACCAUAUCUUCCUUCCAAGAAGCCGAAGUGCUAUAAAUCAACUCUGAGACCCAUGUUGGUUUGUCAGCCACUAGAGACACCAUCGGCUUCAUCAUACCAGGCCGUGGUAGCCAAUUAUCCUCCCAAACUCUUAUUGAUUCUCCUGUCCCAAUUCUCAAUCCUGGAGCAAGAGCUCCUCUUCCGUCGAUGAUGGCCCUCCAAAUCCGUGAAGGGUUGUUACCCAGCUCGGCCUCCAAAAAAGAACCAGCUGGAAAGUAUUUUGCCUUCAGAACUCUUGCACUUAAAGACAACGGCUCCUGGAUGAUCCUCCAUGCUUGUCUUGCCAACAGUGAUAAGUUGAAAAUUUCUAUAUCUCAAAAACCAAGCCCUCCCAAAUACUUCGGCCUCAUGCAAACGUCCCAUGAAAUCCAACUGGGCUUUCUCUUGCCCUUUUUGCCCCCGCACCAAAACUGUCGUAUCAUAGAUGUAAUACUCUCGCAAAUUCCUCUGGGCAGUCUAAAACAUGACAUGGAAUAAACCGGAAUGGCUUGGGCAAUUGCCUUGAUUAAUACCUCCCUUCCUGCAUAAGACAGUAACUUCUCCAUCCAUCCCUUGAUCUUCUCCCAUACUCUGUCCCUUAAAUAUUUGAAAGUACCAUUCUUCGAGUGACCUACGUCAGUCGGCAUGCCCAAAUAUCUACCAGUUAAUUGCUCGUCAUGAACAUUGAGAGAGUUUUUGAUGCUCUCCCGGAUCACUUGCGGGCAACCUUUACUGAAAAAAUGAAAGAUUUGUCAUUGUUCACUCUUUGUGCCGAAGCAUUACAAUAUGUAUCUAACAGGUUUGACACCACACUUUCCCCCUCGGUACUAGCCUUGAAAAGCAGCAGGCUAUCAUCAGCAAAGAGCAAAUGGUUGACAACUGGGGCUGUCGGCGCCACUUGAACUCCCACAAACGAUGACGACUGAGGAACGGAUUUCAAUAGGCACGAAAGGCCCUCUGCUGCUAACAAGAAAAGAUAAGGGGAAAUGGGAUCUCCCUGUCGAAUACCUCUCGUAGGUCGGAACUCCUGCAACUGUUCUCCAUUAAAAAGGACUAAAAAAGAAACUGAGGUGAUCAUCUUCAUCACUAUAAGUACCCAUUGUGUAUCAAAUCCCAGCUUUACCAUCAUUGCUUUGAGAUAGUCCCACUCAAGCCUGUCAUAGGCCUUCAUCGUAUCAAGUUUCAAAGCACAACUGAUAUUUCCCUUCGGCUUACUCCUUUUCAUAAAGUGCAGACACUCAUAAGCCGUAAUGAUAUUAUCUGUUAUAAGUCUACCUGGGACAAAGGCAGAUUGUUCUUCUGAGAUAAUAUCUGGUAAAAUUUGCUUCAGCCUGUUUGCAAUCACCUUCGAAGCAAUUUUGUACAAGACGUUGCACAAGCUUAUUGGUCUGAACUGAGAUAACAAGGAAGGGUUCAAUACCUUCGGGAUUAAUACCAAAAAAGUAUCAUUGAUGCAAUCUGGGCUCUCUUCUCCUCUGACUAUGCGGAGCACUGCCUUCGUCACCUCCUCACCACAAACAUCCCAAUGUCUUUUGAUAAAAAUGCCGUGGAAAACAGUCGAUGCUUCGCAAAGGGAGUAGCUGACCCGGGCUGCCCCAUUUAGGUAACACGCUGUGAAAAUCAACAACAAGAAACCGCGCAGCUAGCCAGUGCGACAAGCUAACUCUACUGGAAAAUUAGCAACGUCAUAUUUAAAGAAGCGAACUGCUACGCCAAAAUUUAAAAAAUAGCCCGCAAAAUAUUCCCAAAAACAUACAUGUGGGGGCUUGAGCACACGACCUCAACUAAGUGAACCAUGUCGCUAGCCACUAUGUUCAUUUACUUGCUUGUCUAAAAAUGCUAGCUCACUAUACGUGGCAAGAGAAAGUAAAGUUUUUUGAAAUUUCAAACGUGGAUUAUUUUUAUCAAAAGUAAAUAUAAUUAGGAAGCCGAACAUUUUCAAAAUUUGCUAACAAACUUUUAAAGACUCGAACAUUUUUAUGAGAAUCUGAAACAUUUUUUGUAAAAGAAGGAACAAAAUUGAAAGCAAGAACUUUUUUCAAAAUUACGAACAACUUUUUCAAAAUGCAAUCAUUUUCUACAAACAGAAACAAAAUUGGAAAAAAUGCUAACAUUUUCUGAAAUUAAUAAUAUUUUUUGAAACACGAAUAUUUUAUGAAAUUCUCGCAAACAUUUUUCUCAAUUUUUGAACAAAUCAUGAAAACGUGCACUUUUUGAGAUUGUGAAUAAAUUUUGAAAACAGAAAAAACAAGUGUAAAAAUGCGAACAUUUUUAUAAAAAAUGAACAAUGUUUUCAAAACACUAACAUUUUGUGAAAUUUCCCUAACAUUUUCUGAAUUUUCGAACAAAUUUUGGAAACAUGAACAUUUCCUGAAUUUUUGAAAACAGAAAUAUUUUUUGAAAUCCAUAAACAUUUUUAAAUUUUGAACAAAAUUAAGAAAUGCGAACAUUUUCAGAAAUUUUAAAAUUUUAUGAAUUUAUUUGCAUUUUUGGAAAUGAAUGAACAAAUUUUAAAAUACUAAAACAUUUUUUAAAUUUCUGAACAAAUUUUGAAAACAGGAACAAAAUCUGGAAAAGUGAACAAAUUUUAAGAAAUACACACAUUUUAAAUUGCACAAAAUUUGUUGAGAAAAGAAAUUAACUUGGAAAGGAAAGAUGAAAGAAAAGAAAAGAAACGAAAAAAGAAACAGAAACAAGAAAAUUACAGAAAAAGAAAAGGCAGAAAAAAUAAAAGAAGAAAUGGAAAAUGGUUCAGGAACCUUCCAGAAGGUACCCAAAACCGGCUGGGAAACCUAGAGGGUUCCCAAAACCAAACAUGAAAGUUGUACGUACGCUACAGAUGGGCCGCAGAAGUCGCUCGCUGGGUCGCCUCGCCUGUGGGAUUCGCCGAUAGUUUGACGCAAAGUGCGUCGAAUAGGGUUUUCUGCUAUAUAGCUCUCACGCUCCACGAGGAAGAAGGACAGAACGUUAUCUAUUUUAGUGAACUAGGCCUUGGGCCAUUUUUUCUUUAGCAAAACAAUAGAACGUGGAUGGUUUGUAUGUGUGGGCACAGAUCCAUGGGAUCCCGGACUUGUACCGUGAGAUUGGGAUUGUAGACCAGCUUGCUCGCCGCAUUGGCCGAGUUAAGGAGGUUCGGCUUUCGCCAAGGCUGUUCUAUGAAGGGGAUUAUGUCAGAGUUCGUGCUCAGAUACUUGUGGCAAAACCUUUGACAAGGGUCACACCACUAACAGUCACCGGAGAGGAGCGACGUAUGCUACCCGUCAAGUAUGAAAAGAUACCUUAUUUCUGCCAGGUGUGUGGAUUGAUGGGACAUAACCAUGAGGAAUGCGGUGGUGGUAUCUGGGAGGCAAAGCAUAAGCAGUGGGGCAGUUGGAUGUUAGCCAAAAGGAAGGAAGCAGUACCUGAGACUCAAGGUGGAGGCCGUGCAGCUCGGGGUGGCCGAACUGGCGGGCGGGGCAGAGCGGGGAGGGCUGGCCGUGGUGAUCCACCCCCACGCCAGAGAUCACCCCCUCGCAAGAGAUCAUCACAGGAUGCCGGUCUGCACACAGGAGAAGAGGGGGAUGAGGAGGUGAUGAGUCCAUUAAAACAGCCUGAACCGGGGGCAAGCAAACCAACAGAAUUGGUCAGCUCUGAAAAGGACGUGGAGGAACCAUCUGCACGAAAGAACCUGAGCUUGGCGUUCUCUGCUACUUGCGUCACCGAACCUGGCCAGGAGAAUAGUGCCAUGCCGCCGCUUCCACCGGCGUACGUCUCACCCAGGGAGAUCAAGAAGGCAAAGAAGGAUGCUUCCCCGAAGAAAAGCAACAAUUUGGCAUUAUUGGCGGGCUCCAACGGGGAGCGCCGCCGGGCCCAAUGAAAAUCCUUAGCUGGAACUGCCGUGGAAUUGGCGAUCCCGCGACAGUCAGAGAACUCCGUGAUCACGUGGGGAUUAGUUCGCCGAUGAUUCUCUGUCAAGUUGAAACCCAACUGCAGAAGAGUCGUGUUGAAGGUCUUCGUUUUUUCCUUGGUUUUGAUUUUAGUUUUCGAGUCGGUAGUAGUGGCCGUAGUGGCGGCAUUUGUAAUUUUUUGGAAAAACUCUGUUGAUGUGAUAAUAAAGAAUUUUUCUUAGUAUCAUGUGGAUGCAUGGGUUGUGGAGCCAGGUAAAGAACAAUGGCGCUUAUCAUGUUUUUAUGGCGAAGCAAAUAGAAGCCUCUGUCGGUGUCAAAACCCGCAUAUCUCGGGUAGGGGGUCCCGAACUGUGCAUCUAAGGAUCGAAGGUAACAGGAGACAGGGACACGAUAUUUACUCAGGUUCGGGCCCUCUUGAUGGAGGUAAUACCCUACUUCCUACUUAAUUAUCUUCGAUGAAUAUGGGGUUUACAAGAGUCGAUCUACCUCGAGAUCGUAAUGGCUAAACCCUAGAUGUCUAGCCUGUAUGAUUAUGAUUGCCUCUAUGGACUAAACCCUCUGGUUUAUAUAGACACCGGAGGGGCCUAGGAUUGUACAAAGUCGUUUUACAGAGAAAGGAAUCUUCACAUCUGAACGCCAAGCUUGCCUUCCACGCAAAGGGGAGUCCCAUCCGGACACGGGAGGAAAUCUUCUGUCUUGUAUCUUCACGGCCCAUUAGUCCGGCCCACAUCACAUAGCCCGGACGCCCGAGGACCCCUUAAUCCAGGACUCCCUCAGUAGCCCGCGAACCAGGCUUCAAUGAUGAUGUGUCCGGCGCGCAGAUUGUCUUCGACAUUGCAAGGCGGGUUCCUCCUCCGAAUACUUCAAAGCAUCUGACCCGAAGAGUUGUACUCGGCUUUUCAUUUAAUGUCAUACCCUUUGGCUUCUGCGCCUCCAUUGCUUCUGCUUCCACGUGUCGAGCGAAUACCAAAGGUGAGAGUAUUUUUUGCACAUAACACCCUGGCCAUGUAAGAAAGGCGUCUAUUUAAAGAGAUUGGAUCUCAAAUGCCAUUCCACACCAGGUGGAAAAUCCUUAGAGCUUGCUAGGAGAAAACAUUCAAACAUGGCUAGCGCUCCCAGUUCUUCCUUCCGCCCUCAUGGCUCCAAAAAAGGCGAUUGGGAGAGAUGUUCAGUAUCCCAUGACCAGCUGGUUAAGCUUCAAACGCAGGGAUUCCUUCCCCCCGCGGAUCUAGUCCCCGUCGGGCAGGAUUAACCUCUUUCACCAGCGAAACCCUGGCGGAAAAUUUCCCCAAUCCAACCAGGGGGGAGCGAGUGUGCUUCGUCUUCUUCUUAUUAAGAGGCGUCGGAUUUCCAAUCCACCCUUUCCUCCGAGGUCUCCUGGAGUACUACGGCCUCCAACUGCACAAUCUUACGCCGGCCUCUAUCCUGCACAUCGCGGGCUUUGUCGCUCUUUGCGAGCUAUUCCUGGGCUGCGAGGCCCAUUUUGAGUUAUGGAGGAAGCUUUUCUGCCUCGCCCCUCACACCCAAAAGGGAUCUGUAUUCGAGGUGGGUGGCGCCAAGGUAUGGUGCAUAGCCGGGACCGGAUACCUGUCCGGCACGUCGAAGAAGGCGUCCGAAGAGUGGCCCUCAGAGUGGUUCUAUAUUGAAGAUGCCGCUCUCCCCGACCCAGUCUGAAUGGGCCUUCCCGAAUAUUCCAGCGCUCCAUUAAGGAAACGCCACAGCUGGCGUCCCCGGAGCCUCGAGGAGGAAGAUAGCGCAGAAGUCCAACAAUUAAUGGGCAAGAUAAGGACACUUGCCCAGUUCAGAUUAUCAAUAAUCGAGGUAAUGGCGACUUCCAUAGUGCGAGGUGUUCAGCCACUCCAAUUCAGAGGGCUCCCUAUGUGGCACUACAAUGGGGAAGAUGACGCCUCAUGCUGCGGACAAAAGGGUCCGGACACCCCCGCCGCUCUGGCCACAAUAUUGGCCGAUCUGUAUAAAGGGGAGAAAGAGGAGUUCACUCGUCUUAAGCGGCGAGAGGGAUUUUCCAUGUAUAAUCCCCCUAACUGGGUGAGUUUUAAUCCCGCCACCUUACUCAAUCCUCUCCUGAGUCAUGUUUAAUUGGCAUUAACCCGUCCACUUUUAAUAGGAAUGUCGGAAGGUUAUCGCGGGGAUCCAUAGCCCUGCUCCACAGCCGGAGGACCAUAACCGGGACCUCGAUCCCGGAUUCGAAGAGGAUCCGGACAUAUUUGUAGAGCUCAAGGAGGGAGUCUUCUACCAGGCGAGCUAUGAUGGCACGGAAGUGGCCAUCAUGGCCAAUUACCCCGGCCUCCUACCUGCCUCACAUGUAAGUAAUCCAGAGACAUCUCCUCCGAAAGAGCUUCCUCAUCAUGCCUCACCCACCGCACUGUCUUGUGCUCCAAAGGGGAGGCGCUCGGCGUGCCUUGUUGCACCAGAGGCGUCUCGUAAGAGAGCGGUGCCUGCGUCGGGCGGGUCUUCGAAGAGGAAGGCAAAUGACAGCACGGCCGAUCCUUCAUCAAAGAGGUAUGACUUUAAAUAUGCCCCAUGGCAGUCACAUCGAACCGUGACAUUGUCCGCUGUGUUUUACCAGGAAGAGCGUUCGCCGAACUAUUUCUGGGGAUCCUGGCAGUCGCGCCUCCACCAGUCAGAUUCCAGACCCUGCCUCUAGCGCGGGGGUUGACAUGGGAGUGACGCCGGAUUGUCUUCCUUAGAGGAUUCGGAUAAUGUAUCCGUCACGAACUCUGAAGUACAGAGCGCCAUGAGUCAUCGGCGCCGGAGGGCCGCCCUUCGUGACCCUAGCUUUACUAAAGAGGCGUUCAAUUCCUACAACUCGGCUGAUGCGUACAUCCGAGCUGCUCGGGAUGGGCUUGCCAGAGCCACUGACCAGCAUUUGAAAGAUAUGCAGGUAAGUACGCAUUGUAUAGAUCAGGUAAUCAUAUACCAGUAGCCCACGAGACUUGAAGCGGUUGAAACAACUGAUUUAAGGAUCAUUGUAUAAUCAGGCACUCACGGAGAAGAACAAAAUGCUGUCUCAUGAGCUGGAAAAGUGUCGGACCCAGCUAGCUGUUGUUACCGCCGAACUGGAGAAAUCCAAGGAGGUACCGCCUUGUAAUGUUCUUCUCCAUCCCGAAAAAUAUAAUCAAAUACCAGUAAUGUUAAUACUGUUGUAUUUCCCAUGGCAGGAUCGUUAGAUCAAUUGAAAAAGGAACUGAAGGUCGCGCAGGCGGGUAAACAUCAGGCCGAAAAGCAACUGGCCGCUGGCGAACGUGUGUUGACACGGACCAGGGAUGGUAAGAACAAGCUGCAGGAUUCCAACACCCAGCUGGGCGAAGAGCUAAAAGACGUGCGAGCCCAGCUAGCGGACACUGUAAAAGAGAACAGGAGGCUACGGGGCGGCAUAUUCAGUAUGCUUUUGAACUUACCUCCGUGUAGUGCGGUAAAAAAUGAGUUAACAGAUUUAUGUCUGCAGGUAUGCCGACUGGCCGGCCCGAAGAGGAAAUGUCCGGAGCUCAAGGCGAUCUGUUGCAAGAGCUGUCACAAGUGCACGGUCGAGCUCGAAAAGCGAUGCGGAGUGUUGCCAAUGCUUUAUGGCCAUCCGCAUCCCCCCAAGGAAGUAUGGAGGAGUUUGUGAAGCUAUUCAAGGGAGCUCGGCGCCGCUUUAGAUUAUGGAAGAUAUCGGCUUGCCAGGAAGGCGCACGAGAGGCCUGGGCCAUGGUGAAAACGCGGUACACCGGACUUGAUCCGAAUCAUAUGGCCCGGGUCGGACCUCGGGGGUCAGAUGGACAAGAGAUUCCAGUAAGUUUGGUAUAUGACCAAGUAAAGAUAGCCGCCAAGUUUUCACAACAGGAUUGUAAGCUAGAUAGCCUGUUAGACGGUAUAGAGGAAGAAGCUUUUGAGUCCAAGUGACUAUGUACUUCAAUUGACAAAUUUGUCCCUAGCCGAAUUGUAAAACGAUUGUCAUGGCAGACCUUUUCCCUUCGACCUCCAGACCCGAAGGUGUGGAGUGUUUCCGAAUACCGGACCGGCGAUAAAUACCGGGGCAUGUGUGGAAACCAGGCAUAGGGGUCAUAGUUGCUUGAACAGACAAGUUGUAUCCGGCUAACUAUGUUAUAUUACUUAUUGAUUGUAAGAAACAUCUUACAGAGAGAAUAGUUCCGUUAAGGGUUCCUUUCCCUAGGUGAACAUGCGUUAGUAUGCAUGCCCAAACUGUGAUUCAAAAAAUCGCAGUAUAUGUAAUAUCUGGGGAUUCAUAGCGCAACGAGUAUAAAACGUCUUUAAUCCGCCGACCGAUUAUUCCCUUAAGAACGCUAACUUUCGGCUUCACCCAGUCUGAGGUACAAGUCCGGAUGACCAGGCUGUAACAAUCACAGAGGUGCUCCCUUUAUGCCCUAGCCGAACAAACGGGAAUGUAGGGCAUAAGCACAGGAGCCAGGCAACCCAGCUUGGCAAAAACUUAAGUCAUAAAGGUGCAUAUAAUGGCGAAGAAAAGGUAUAUAUUAGAAAAGGACACAUAUGUGGUGAGCUUGAUGCUCGGAAAAUGAUAAUAAGCUUCUGUAAAAGAAGCCCCCAGGUAUUACGGGCGUAUACAUUUAAGGAUGUGUACCUCAUAAGUGUGCGGUCUAGCCGCACAAGAGCUAUAAAGCUAAAGAAAAAAUUUAAAGAGAGAAGAAAUGGAAAAAGGAGAAAAAGAAAACGAACAAUGAGUCCGGCUCUAGGCGUAGAAUCUUCGGAGUCUGGCGGUAUUCCACGGGUUCAGCUCUAAGCGAUUAUCCGAUGCAUCACGCAGACGGUACACACCUCCAGUGAGAACUUCAUCUAUAAUGAAGGGACCUUCCCACUUGGGCUUGAGUUUGUCCUUUUUCUUUUCUGGCAAGCGUAGAACGAGUUCACCAACAUUAUAAGUCUUGGCCCACACUUCUCUGCUUUGGUAUCUACGAGCUUGUUGUUGAUAUAAUGUGGAACGGGCUUUUGCAACAUCGCGCUCCUCCUCCAGGGUAUCUAGAAUAUCCUGGCGAUCCAGCUUGGCUUCUCUCUCUUCGUACAUGCGCACUCGAGGUGAGUCAUGAAUUAUGUCGCAGGGCAAAAUAGCCUCCACGCCGUACACCAUGAAGAAUGGUGUGUAACCGGUAGUGCGAUUGGGCGUAGUCCGCAGCCCCCAGAGUACGGAGUCGAGCUCCUCGACCCAGUGUUUGUUUGACUCUUUUAAGGAUUGUACUAGUCUAGGCUUAAUGCCGCUCAUGAUAAGACCAUUAGCUCAUUCGACUUGACCGUUUGUUUGGGGGUGAUAGAUGGAGGCAUAAUCGAGCUUGAUGCCAAGGUUAGCACACCAGGUUUGCACUUCGUCGGCUAUAAAGUUGGAGCCGUUAUCGGUGAUGAUGCUGUGUGGGACACCAUAGCGGUGUACGACACCGGAUAUAAAGUCUAUCACUUGUCCGGCUUCGGCCGUUUUAACUGGUUUGGCCUCGAUCCACUUAGUGAAUUUAUCUACCAUGACCAGCAGAUAUUUUUUCUUAUGGCUUCCCCCUUUAAGGGGUCCGACCAUAUCAAGCCCCCAGACCGCGAAAGGCCAAGUAAUGGGGAUUGUUAUUAGGGCGGUAGGCGGCAUAUGGCUUUGAUUGGCGAAAAUCUGGCAUCCCACACAAUGUUGGAGAAGGUCCUGUGCAUCUGCUCGGGCCGUCAGCUAGAAGAAACCGGUACGGAAGGCUUUGCUUACAAGAGCCCGAGCCGUGGCGCGGUGACCGCCAAGACCAGCAUGGAUUUCGGCUAGGAGCUGCCGGCCUUCUUCUUCGGAAAUACAUCUUUGAAGUAUUCCGGUAGCGCUCUUCUCGUAGAGCUCUCCUUCAUGAACCUUGUAGGCUUUCGAACGUCGAACGAUGCAUCGAGCCUCAUUCUGAUCCUCGGGGAGCUCUCGCCCAUUAAGGUAGGCCAAGAAGGGUUCGGUCCAUGGAGCAAUUACUACCAUUAUUAGAUGGGCCGAUGGUGUUAUUUCGGUGGCUGAGCCCCCGAUGAUAUCGGUGUUGUGUUCGGAAUCUGGGUGUAUAAUCGGAUCCGGACUAGUGUUGCCGCUCUCAUCCUGCCACACCACGGAGGGCUUGACGAGCCUUUCCAAAAAUAUGUUAUGCGGGACGGGGUCACGCUUGGCGCCCAUGCGAGCAAGGACAUCUGCCGCUUGAUUACUUUCUCGAGCCACAUGAUGAAACUCGAGUCCCUCAAACCGAGCUGAUAUUUUGAGUACGGUGUUACGAUAGGCCGCCAUCUUCGGAUCAUUGGCGUCGAAGUCUCCGUUUAUUUGGGAUAUUGUGAGGUUUGAAUCCCCGCGCACCUCCAGGCGUUGUAUGCCCAUGGAGACAACCAUCCGAAGACCAUGCAAUAAGGCCUCGUAUUCGGCUGCGUUAUUGGAGUCUGUGUAUAAUAUUUGGAGUAUGUACUGGACUGUGUCUCCUGUGGGGGACGUUAAGUCAAUGCCCGCUCCUAAACCGGCCAGCAUUUUAGAGCCAUCGAAGUGCAUGACCCAGUUGGAAUAUGUACCAUACUCUUUAGGGAGUUCGGCCUCUGUCCAUUCGGCGCGAAGUCGGCCAAUACUUGGGAUUUAAUGGCUCGGCGUGGUUUGUAUGUUAUAUCGAAUGGCAAGAGCUCAAUGGCCCACUUGGCAAUCCGGCCUGUACCAUCGCGGUUGUUUAAUAUGUCAUUGAGUGGUACUUCGGAAGCCACCGUGAUCGAGCACUCUUGGAAGUAGUGCCAUAGCUUUCGGGAUGCCAUGAAAACCGCGUAUGCUAUCUUUUGGUAAUGAGGGUACCGGGAUUGCACGGUGUGAGGACGGUGGAUACAUAGUAUACCGGUUUCUGAAAUGGAAAUUUAUGUCCAUCCUCCUCUCGUUCAACGACGAGCACCGCACUCACCACCUGGCGUGUUGCAGAGAUGUAUAAUAACAUGGGUUCGCCGACGUUCGGCGCGGCCAGGAUUGGGUUGCUUGCUAAAAAAGCUUUUAUUUCUUCCAGUCUGGCCGUUGCCGCGUCCGUCCACUCGAAGUGGUCGGUGCGUCGGAGCAGGCGAUACAGUGGCAAUGCCUUUUCUCCUAACCUGAAGAUAAAGCGGCUUAAAGCUGCCACGCAUCCGGCUAGUUUUUGGACCUGUUGUCUGUUGGUGUAGCCAAUUGUGACAAAGCUCGGAUUUUUGCUGGGUUUGCCUCAAUUCCUCUAUUGGAAACGAUGAAGCCCAGCAGUUUUCCGGCGGGGUCGCCGAAGACACACUUUUCCGGAUUGAGCUUGAUGUGAUAUGUACGGAGGUUAUCGAAUGUGAGACGCAGAUCGUAUACUAGUGACCCGACGUGCCUAGUUUUUAUGACGACGUCAUCCACAUAUGCUUCGACCAUCUUGCCGAUUUGUUUCUCUAGGCAUGUUUGAAUCAUGCGUUGGUAGGUGGCGCCAGCGUUUUUCAGCCCGAAGGGCAUAGUGUUGAAGCAGAAAGGGUCGUAUGGGGUAAUGAAUGCCGUUGCGGCUUGAUCAGACUCCUUCAUUUUGAUUUGAUGGUAUCCGGAGUAUGCGUCGAGGAAACACAGCGAGUCGUGUCCUGCGGUAGCAUUAAUGAUCUAAUCGAUGCGGGGGAGGGGGGAGGGAUCCUUAGGGAAGGCCUUGUUGAGGUCUUUGAAAUCGAUGCACAGGCGCCAGGGUUUAUCCUUCUUUGGUACCAUCACCAUGUUUGCUAGCCAGUCCGGGUGUUUUAUUUCUCUGAUGAACUAGGCCUCAAUAAACUUGGCUAGCUCCUCCCCCAUAGCUUGCCGUUUGGGUUCGGAAAAGCGCCGCAGUGUUUGCUUGACCGGCUUGUAUCCCUUCAAUAUAUUGAGGCUGUGUUCGGCCAAUCUGCGUGGGAUUCCUGGCAUAUCAGAAGGGUGCCAGGCGAAUAUGUCCCAGUUCUCGCGCAGGAAUGCGCGUAAUGCGGCAUCGACCGUCGGGUCCAGCUGUGCUCCGAGGGAAGCUGUCUUCUUGGGGUCUGUCGGGUGAACUUGAAAUUUGACUAUUUUGUCCGCUGGUUUGAAGGAGGUGGAUUUGGGCCGCUUAUCGAGGAUUACGUCAUCCCUAUCCACCGUGGAGCGUAGUGCGGUUAAUUCUUCAGCCGCAAGGGCCUCGGAUAGUGCUUCGAGGGCCAGGGAUGCGGUUUUGUUUUCGGCGCGGAGUGCUAUGUCCGGAUCACUGGCGAGAGUGAUAAUACCGUUGGGCCCGGGCAUCUUGAGCUUCAUAUACCCGUAGUGAGGUAUGGCUUGAAAGUGCGUGAAUGCGUCUCGCCCCAACAGGGCGUGAUAUCCACUGUUGAAAGGGGCCACCUGGAAGGUUAUCUCUUCGGACCGAUAGUUCUCCGGCGUGCCGAAUACCACGUCGAGUUUUUUUUCCCGCGCAUCUUGCUUCCCGACUGGGAAUGAUUCCUCGAAAGGUCAUAUUACUUUGCUUGAUGCGGCUCCUAUCCAUUUGCAUUUUAUUGAGCGUGUCCUCGUAGAUGAGGUUCAGCCCACUGCCGUCGUCCAUGAGCACUUAAGUGAGCCGAAAGCCAUCCACAAUUGGGUUGAGAACCAAGGCGGCUGGUGCCCGGACUGACCGGAAUUUUGGUUCGUCCUCGUCAUUAAAAGUUAUGUCCGUGUCGUUCCAGGGAUUUAUUGGUGCGACUUGGCAGACUUCGGCGAGGUCACGGAGUGCCCUCUUGCGCCGAUUGCUUGAAGCGAAAGUCUCAAAGACCGUCAAUACUCUAAGGUUGUUGUCUUCUGGAGAGUGCUGCUCUGAGGUGUUUUGGUGAGGAUAUCCUCGCCACUCUUGGCCACUUGCCGGAGUAUCCAACAUGCUCUGAGGCUGUGGGUUGGUUCGGUAUCCGGUGUCCUGUGUAUUUUGCGUGGCUUAUCGAGCCAUCCCUCAAGGACGGUUCCACGUCCCGUAAUGGGUUUAAUUUUCUUGCCUACGGGGUCGGGUGCCCCGCGAGGGUGCAUCCUCUUUGCCCGCCAGGGAGGUGGCGUGAAGGCCGGUGGUGGUUCCCAGCAAGCUGUCUGAGUUUUCCAGGCGCUUUCCAUUGCGCAGUACUUCUGUACUAUGGUUGCCAAGUCAGCUAAGUGUAGUGCGCGACGGCGGUUGAGGGUGUUGAGGAAUCCUUCGUCCGCGCAAUUAUUGUAGAAUACUGAAAUCGCGUCCUCGUCAUGGCAAUCUUUAAUCUUGUCCUUGACAAGGAGGAAUCUGGCCCAAAAGUAAUGGAUUGUUUCCUGAGGCUGCUGCCGUACAUACAUUAGGGCGCAUAUAUCCGGGUGACCGGAAUUGCUUGGCGAAUAUUGCUUGUGGUGGGUGGGUGGCGUUAAAUCCGAACCCUGACCCAAUGUGGAGUGCGGAGUUUGAAAAACUUCCGAGUUUAUUAGUUCAGGCUCCGGGGUGUCCAAUGAUUCUUUAGGCUCAACGCCCGAUUCUAAGUUCGGAGGACUGGGAGUGUCACCCUGCAGACGGGUAUCCGGCUCUCCGAGCUCGGAAAUCCGAACAUAGCUUGUUUUCAGCAUAGGGGAAGAGUUGUUGUUUUGCUCCUCUACGACCGCUAUCUGAUGGGUGACCGGCGGAGAUUUGAUUUCUCUCUGAUCGAGUUUAAGCCCAAUCCGAUCAUAGUCUAAGGCGACCCCCAGGGCGGCGAUGCGAUCCAGGAGUUCGUUUAAAGACGACAAAUCCGCCAGAUCCAUCCGUUUGGAGUAUUCAGGAUCAACACGGAGACGAUUUUCGAUGACUUGGGAAGUCAUCAUCGGCUUAAAGGCCGAACGGGCGGCCAUGGUAAAGCUGCCCAACUGGAGGGUUUGGCCUGAGGCCAGGGCUUCUCCGGAAGUGAUAUUGUCCUUGAUAACAAGGCGAGCCAUCAAUCCUGUUGGUCGACGCCACAAACGAACUCUCAAUGAAAGCACCAAUGUCGGUGUCAAAACCGGCAGAUCUCGGGUAGGGGGUCCCGAACUGUGCGUCUAAGGAUCGAAGGUAACAGGAGACAGGGACACGAUGUUUACCCAGGUUCGGGCCCUCUUGAUGGAGGUAAUACCCUACUUCCUGCUUGAUUAUCUUCGAUGAAUAUGGGGUUUACAAGAGUUGAUCUACCUCGAGAUCGUAAUGGCUAAACCCUAGAUGUCUAGCCUGUAUGAUUAUGAUUGCCUCUACGGACUAAACCCUCCGGUUUAUAGACACCGGAGGGGCCUAGGAUUGUACAGAGUCGGUUUACAGAGAAAGGAAGCUUCACAUCCGAAUGCCAAGCUUGCCUUCCACGCAAAGGGGAGUCCCAUCCAGACACGGGAGGAAAUCUUCUAUCUUGUAUCUUCACGGCCCAUUAGUCCGGCCCACGUCACAUAGCCCGGACGCCCGAGCACCCCUUAAUCCAGGACUCCCUCAGCCUCCUAUACAAGACUUGGGACAUGAUGAGAAGGUUGAGAGGGGAAAGCACCCUCCCUUGGGUUUGUAUCAGGGAUUUCAACGAAAUUCUCAGACCAGAGGAACAAAUGGGUUUCCAUGAACGGGACAGCUCUCAGAUUGAUGCGUUCCGGGAGGCAGUUGAUAUUUGUGGCCUUUCUGACUUAGGCUACGAAGGUUUGGACUGGACCUGGGAGAAGAAAGUGGCUGGUGGAAGUUUCUGCCGUGUUAGGCUGGAUCGAGCGCUAGCAACUGCGUGCUGGUCCGCUGUGUUCCCUUUUGCUAGUGUUGAGCAUCUAAAGCGGCCAAGUCUGAUCACUGCCCCAUCCUGUUAGAAACCGAUCGGGUGGAUGCAAGUGUAAGGGCGACCCAAAAACCCUUUCGGUAUGAAUGUAUGUGGGAGCGGGAUCCUUGCUUUGGUGAUGUGCUUGAAGACAUUUGAAAGGCUCCAGGCCAAGUUCAUACCGUGACAGAGCUAUCUGAGAAGUUUGCUGCUGUAGCAGACAGCUUACAUAGAUGGGGACGGGUCACUUUUGGCUCGGUCAGAUCAGAGCUACGACAGUUACGACGGCGUCUAGAGGAGCUCCGGGCGGUUGCUACUCGUAUUGCACCAACUGAGGAAGAAAAGGAAGUGGAAGCUCAUAUUGUUGAACUUUGCUACCGAGAGGAAAUAAUGUGGCGUCAGCGCGCGCAUACAGUGGCUUUCGGAGGGUGAUAGCAAUUCAAAAAAAAAUUCAUCAAAAAGCAAGUGCGCGCAGGGCAAAAAAAUCGUAUUCAAGAGCUACGGCGGGCCAAUGGAUCACUUUGUACAGAGCAACAGGAGAUGGCGGCCAUGGCAACUAGUUUCUAUGAAAACCUAUAUGCAUCAGAAAAUACUGUGGGACUAGAGGAAGUCCUCUCACAUAUACCUGUCAAGGUAGAUGGUCACAUGAACAGUAAGCCAAAUGCGCCCUAUAACAAGGAGGAGGUUAAAGCAGCAUUGUUCCAGAUGUUCCCAACCAAGGCUCCUGGGCCAGAUGGCUUCCCUACUCAUUUCUUUCAACGGCACUGGGAUCUGUGUGGUGAUGAGGUGACUGCUAUGGUGCUUCGUGUUCUCAGUGGAGUUGAUUCACCGGAGGAGAUAAAUAAAACGUUCAUCGUAUUAAUUCCCAAGAUUGCUAGUCCAAAAAACUUAGGACAGUUUCGACCGAUCAGCCUCUGCAAUGUGAUCUUCAAGGUCGCAUCUAAGGUAUUGGCUAACCGGCUCAAGCUCAUUCUCCCCGUUAUCAUCUCCGAGGAACAAUCAGCAUUUGUACCAGGCCGUCUUAUUACUGAUAACUUUCUCUCUGCUUAUGAAUGCUUACAUUACAUGAAAACAAAGAAAUUGAGGAAUAAGAGGUUCUAUGCUCUGAAGCUCGAUAUGAUGAAGGCGUAUGACAGGCUUGAGUGGGAUUAUCUUAAGGCGGUUAUGCUAAAACUGGGGAUAAGUCCACGGUUCACGGAGACGGUGAUGAGAUGUGUCACCUCCGUAUCUUUUUCUGUGAUGUUCAAUGGGGGCAAGUUGGAUGAGUUUAAACCCUCUCGAGGUAUACGACAGGGUGACCCUAUUUCGCCUUACCUGUUUCUUCUUGCAGCUGAGGGUCUAUCAUGCUUACUAAAGUCUUCUCUACCCGAUGAGAUAAUUCCUGGCAUAAAGGUAGCAGCAGAUGCACCAGCAGUCAAUCACCUUCUUUUUGCGGACGACAAUUUGUUAUUCUUUCACGCAUCUUCGGACAUGGCAAGGAGGGUGGAUUCACUUCUGCAAAAGUAUUGUGCAGCAUCGGGUCAGCGAGUAAAUAAGGAUAAGUCAUCAAUUUUCUUUAGUAAAGGCUGCCCGGGGACUUUAAGGCAGGAAAUUAAUCAUGUGUUAGAUGUAUAGAAUGAGAAGCUUUCGGAGAAGUACCUAGGGCUACCCUCUGAUGUGGGCAGAGCAAAGGAGGGCUCCUUCAAAUACCUCAAGGACAAGAUCUGGAAACAAGUUCAAGGAUGGAUGGAAAAAACGCUUUCGGCAGGAGGGAAGGAGGUACUCAUUAAAUCAGUUGCUCAAGCGAUUCCGACAUACUCUAUGGCAUGCUUUAAACUUCUGCGAGGUCUGUGCCAUCACAUCAACGGUCUCCUUCGCAAGUUUUGGUGGGGAUCGAAGAGAGGAGAAAGGAAAACUGCAUGGGUAUCUUGGGAGGUUAUGUCACAACCAAAGUUCAUGGGAGGCAUGGGAUUUCGCAACACUGAACUUUUUAACUUGGCGUUGUUGGCUCGCCAAGCUUGGCGCUUGUUACAAGAACCAGAUUCUCUCAGCGCUCGUAUUCUGAAGUCAGUGUACUACCCUACAUGCUCCGUCCUUGAUGCAGAGUUGGGGAAGCACCCCUCGCAGGUCUGGCGCUCAAUAAUUGAGGGACGAGAUACUCUGAAACUCGGUCUGAUCAAGCGGAUCGGAAGGGGAAAUGAAACUGAGAUAUGGCAUGAAAACUGGAUCCCAAGGGACUUCAAGCUCCGGCCGGUAUGUCCUAAGACUACUAAUCCACCACAAAUGGUUAGUGAUUUAAUUGAUCAAGCAACAGCUUCCUGGAACAUACGUACUAUUGAGGAGCACUUCUUUGAUAUAGAUAAAUCUGCUAUUCUUAACAUACCUCCGAGUACACGAGUACAGGAAGAUUUUUGGUCCUGACAUUAUGAGAGGAAGGGGAUAUUCACGGUUCGCUCGGCGUACAGGUUACUCGUAGCAACCAAGCAACAUCACACUGAUUGGCUCGAGCACAAUCCUGGACACUCUAACGUAGAAGCUGAUCGCCGUUCUUGGUCUAAAUUAUGGGGAGCAAUGGUCCCUUCCAAAGUCCGUGUGUUCGCGUGGCGUCUAGCCAAGACGUCCCUUCCGACUGGGGAUGUUAGGAAUCACCGGCAAAUGGCUGAUACGUCUGAAUGUUCGAUAUGUCACGCGGCGGUUGACACUUGGAGACACCCCCUUUUUGACUGUCGUAUGGCGAGAUGCGUUUGGGCCCUAUCGGAUGAGGAGCUAAUGGAGGUGAUUACCUCAAACCAGACGGACGAUGCAAAGUUAUGGAUGUUUUGGCUCGUUGAUACUUUACCCAAACAAGAGCUAGCUCGGGUUCUAGUUACGAUGUGGGCAAUUUGGUAGGCUCGAAGACGAGCCAUCCAUGAUAAUCAGUUUCAAAGUCCUAUGAGUACCCACUGUUUUGUGCUAAAGUUCUUAGAGGAUCUUGAAUCGGCUGCUACUGUUACCCAAAAUCAAUCACAGACUCGGCCUGUUAUAAAUCCCAGCGACCUGUUUGUGGCAGAUUUGGAUAUGCAUUGCAAUAGGUUGCCGCCGCCUGUGGACUGCGAGGCAAAGAUAAAUGUGGAUGGGGGCUUGUCGAGGAAUGGGGAGAAGGGGGCGGCAGCAGUUGUGUGCAGAGACAAGAAUGGAAAUUUCCUGGGGGCAUCGGCUGUUGUGUUUGAUGGCUUGGUGGAUCUGGCUUCUCUUGAAGCUCUGGCAUGCAGUGAAGCUUUUGCGCUAGCUUCUGACUUAUACCUACGAUCGUUUUGCAUUGCAACAGAUUGCUCGGAGGUGGCUGCGAAUAUUGGGUCCAGGAAUCCAUGCCAUUAUGCUACUACCUUAUUGGACAUCCACUAUCAGCGAAACCUCUUUCAGAACGUCAAGAUCAUCCACAAAAGAAGAAGCCACAAUGGAGAGGCUCAUGCUCUAGCCAAAGCGGCCUCCUCUCUUCCUUCUGGGCGCCAUUUGUGGCUUCAAUAUAUGCCCGAUAUCAUCUGUAUCCCUAUGAACAUUUAUGAUUAAUAAAGGAUAUAGUUGCUCAAAGAAAAAGUAGUGAUGGUGGGCAAUUCUAAAAAAAGUGAUUGCAGGCAACAACAGAUGUGAGGGCAUUGCCCAAAACAAAAACAAAAAACAGAUGAGGCCCUAAAAAACAGAUGUGAGGGAAACAACGCAUCGAUUUAGUACACAAACAUGGAAUUAAGGGGAAAAAAGGAUCGAUUGAUGGAUACUUGCAUGCUUGCGACAUGGGGCACAAUAUUGAUGGAUACUUUCAUGCUUGCAACAUGGGGCACAACUUAGCAAACUACUUCAUCUGUCUCGGUUUAUUAGAACUCUCUUAUUUUUGUCAAAAAUCGAUUAUAAAUUUUGAUAAUAAAAUAUAAACUAUAUGUUAUAAAAUUUAUACCAUCGGAAAUUUAUUCUGAAUACGAAUACAAUACUAUAUUUUCUGUAACAUAUACCACAUAUUUUGUUAAUUAUACUCAUGGUUGAAGUUUGACCCAAAAUACAAAGAGGCCCAAUAAACCCAGAUGAAGGAAGAUAUCUAAAAAAACUACUCCCUCUGUCCUAUAAUAUAAGAGCCUUUUUGACAUUAGAAGAGUGGCAAAUUAAAGUAUGAUGGCCGACAGUAUAGCGAAGCAGGAAGACACGUCUGGUAUUAAUUGAUUAAACAUUUAUGUCACUGAACCUUCUCCUUUGCAAUUGGUUUUGCCAUACCAAAUGUAUAGUUUGACCUCCGCCAUCCAUACGGGAGGGCAAUUGGGCUUGUAGGAGGGUAAAGGCAAAUCGAGUCUGCGGCCAAGGCGUGAUCUCUUGUGCAUCCUAGAUAGAGACACACAUCACACAGCCCCUACCGCCACACUAAUAGAAGAAGGCACAUCCAUUUGCCGACGUGACGACGCCAUUUUAGAGAAGACGUCUCUCUAAUUCCCUUUCUAUUGAUAAGGGCCCCGUAUUCUCCCCGCAAAAAAGGGCCCCGUAUUCUCAUCUCACUCCGGGCCCCGAAAAUCUCAGGAUCAGGCCUGCACGCAUAUGGAUAUGUACAAUUCAUGAAUACGAAUAUACGAUGUAGGUUAAUAGGCCAAAGAACAGCAGCGCAAGGGGGUACCGUACCAGCCAUGGAUGCUCUAUUUCAAAAAGUACAAUGUGCUUCAAAAGAAUGCCCUUCUUUUUUGUUUGCAUGUGCAUUUGAUGGCUUCAGCUCACAUAUAGGGAACUCCAGAUCAUCAACCGAAUUGCCCUGUAAAUCUCUUAGUUCAGUUUUAACCCGUGGAGGUACUGCAUUCCAAUCUAUUUCUAUUGCUCCAAUAUUUGGUUGACCUAAUACAUACAACAAUAGAAGAACCAACCAAUGAAGGAGUACAAGGACAACUCUAACCACAACAGAAAAUAAAUUAAAUAUGGGUUGAAAAUUCGUAGUGCUACUCGUCUAUGAUCAUCAACAUAGAAAAUGUGCAAUACAAAAGUCGUGUGGAACUACGAGAUGAUGCUACUGGUCAAAGAAAAUAUCAAAUUGUCAACCGUGCACGACAAAUUUGAUAAAAUUCAUCCAAAAUAGCUUCAAACAUGAACACAAAAUUGAACAUUUACGGUCGACAAAACUACGAACCGGUCGCCUAAAUGGAACCAUAACAUCGAUGUGCAUCUUUUUCACGUAGAGCUUAUCUCAAAUCGAAGCAUCGUUGUGUAGAUUAGAAGGGACUUAUGUAAGUGAACAAGAUUAGUAGUUAAACGAAAAACCACACGUGAGCUGUUUUGCAUCGAUCAAGCCUGCGUCGCUGGAAAUGGUCAAAUCGAGGGUUCCCUGCAUGCAGGCCAAAGGUACUUUAAGUUCCGUGUGGGGUUACUUUUUGAUGCGACCCAAGCAACCAAAUAUCCCAAUUUCUUGGCCUAGCCGAGGUUAAUGCGAGCAACCAAACGCUUCCUUAGAGUUGCAUUUUUUGGCCGAAGCCGCGGCUCGCUCAACGCACUCGGCACUUUAAUGUUUGGUGUUUCCUAUUUGACGCAUCUUGCGUCAAAUAGGCGUCGAAUCACACAAGUAGCCCAGCGAGGAAGCGAAACUGGACGACCCAUUUAGGUGCACACAGGUCCCCGAUUUUGGGAACCUUCCUAAAGAUUCUUGUCUAGUUUUUUUAGCCUUUUCAGUUUUUUCUUUUUUCUGCUAUUUCUUUACAGGUUUUCUUUGGUUUCUAUUUCCUAGUCAAAAUUUUCCAUUUUCCAAAAUAGUUUGAGUUUUAUAGUUACUUUAAAAAAUCAGAAAUUUAUUUUUAAAACAGUGUUUCAAAUAUUAUUUUAGAAUUUCAGAAAAUAUUCUUGUUUUAAAUUUGGUCCUAAAUUCUAAAAAUGUUUGGGAAUUUUAAAAAUUUGUUGUAUUUCCAAUAGAAAUCAGUAUCUCAAAAUGUUGUUUUAAAAAGGUAUUCAAAAAUUUCAAAAAUGCUUCUCAAUUUUCCUAAAUGUUCGAUUUUCCCAAAAAAAGUUAAAAAAUGUUCACCUUUCGAAAAAUAUUCAGACAUUUGAGAGAAAAAAUGUUCAGAUUAUAUAAAAUUAUUCCCAUUUUCUUAAAAUAUUCACGAUUUUGGAAAACAAAUGUUUGCAGAAAGUGUGCAUGUUUCUCAAAAAACUUCUCAAAUUUCAAAUUUUCAAAUAUAUUAGUUGAUAAAAUGGGACGAUGUAUUUAGACCCAAAGAGAUGAGAGGUCUGGUGUGAUUGAUCUAGAUGUAACAGAUAUUAGUCGUCUUUGUAAGUGGAUAUGGAAGAGUGAAAAUGAACAUGGUGUGUGGCUAGAUCGAUUUAGGUAAAAAAUUAUAUAGAGAAAUGUACUUUGAGAUCAUGUAAAAGCAAGCCUUGGCAAUCUCAUUUUUGGGAGUGAUUAAUGAAAGUUAAACCUAUUUUAUGACAGUAUAGUAGAGAGAUGGUAAGUAAUGUGGAGAGAACUCUUUUCUGGAAGAUUUAUGGAUUAGAGAGAAACCUCUAUGUGUGUAAUUUCCAAGAUUAUAUAUGCUUACAUUUGUGCCAAUUUUACUAUUGCUAAUGCGUUGGAGAUGAUACGAGUAAUAUUAGAUUUACAAGGGUGUUGCGGGGAGAAACUUCCAAGGUUUUGGGUACCGGGAGGAAAAUUCGAUACCACCCACUAUCUUUGUUUCUCACUACCCCACAAGAAUUGCGUAUACCGAGAAAAAAUAUUGUAAUUGUUUUCAAACAAAAUUAGCAUACAGUUAACUAAGAAGGAAACUCGUAUAGAACAUGUAACCAAUGGCGGUCUCGCGGUAAUUGUCGCCGCCCUGCACCAACGCCUCAAUAGGUCAUGCGUUGAGUCCCUUACAUGUUUUGUUCCUAAUUCUGAUGUAAAUAAAGAUGGUGUUAUUGCAAAAUGUUGAGGGCCAUAUGGGGAAUCGAACUCUGUCGACUUCCUAAGAGAAGGGUGAGGGGAGCCAACCACGCAUCGCUCGCCGGUUCUAAAAUAUUUGGGUUCUAUCGUUCUAGUGGAAUCUAUUCCAAACUCAAGAUAUUUUGAAUUCAAAAUUUGUUUGAAAAUUUCGAGCGGAUUUCCCCCCGGUAUUUGCAUUAUCCAUGGUAUCCACAUUUCGUGCCCAUCCUCGGUAUUUUUUGGAAUUCGGUAGCCAAAACCUUGAAAAUUGCUAACAUGCGGGCUUAACUUAAAGCAGUAUGUAGAGGAGUGAAUCUUUGUGAAGAAGAGGAUACAUGCACAUUUAUUUUGAGUAAAACUGGUAGAUUUACUGUUUGAUCUUUGUAUUUUACUUUAAAAACAGAUCAGGUAAUAUCGCCUCAUGGUAAGAUAUGGUAUAUUGGAAUUCCUCUAAAGAUAAAAAGUUUUCAUUUGGAUUGGUUUUAACAAUAAUGUGUUGACAUUUUUAACAACAAACAACUAGAACAACUGUUAUACGGUAUUUUCAUUUAUAUAAAAUAUAUAUUGAGUACGAUAUUUACAAAAGGAGGGAAAAAACUAAAAAUAUAUUCUACUAUUUAAUUUCUACUUAUGGGAUCAUGUUUUUAGAUAAGAAUUUCUAGUCCUUUGAUGCUAACGUCAUAGAUGUGCAUCAGUCCACUAUUUCAAAGUAUCCAAAUUCAUGGACUUGAUCAUGUGUUCACGCAUUGAAAGGCCUUCCGUGAGACUGAAUAUUGCAACCGUUGACACUUUGAACCUCUCUCCUAGAUAUUUUCCCAUUCCUUUGAUUCCAAAUAUCCAGGAGCCUAGAAUGAUGACAUCCAUUGCAAUUUAAUUCCUGCUUAUGCGAUCAUGUUUCAUCAAAAGUUGAACUACCUCUCUGUUUGGUUGGAAUUAUGCUAUUCCAACAAUACUAUGAGAAGCAGCAAUCCCAAAAUAGGUGCAUUGAGGUUGCUUCACCUCUUUCUUCACAAAAUACGCAUUCAUAACAAUCUAGAUGCAUGUACUUUCUUCUCAAGAGGUUUCUGGUGUUGCCUCUAUCACACAACAACAACCAAAAACCAUCUUAUGUCUUACCUAAUUACAAUCUUCCAAAGCCAUUUGAAUAAGACACGAACCUUUCCAUCGGCACUGGGAUAUUUAUACAUCUUGAUUGACGAAUAUCCAUUGCUUUGCCCAUGAAAUUUCCAGUUAUGUUGUGUUUGAGGGCUGUUGUGUUGCAAGAUCAAGGCUGGAGUUCAUUAUAUUGAUCAAAAGCUUGAGAUGAUAGAGGUGUAUGAAAGUGUAAGGCUGAAUCCUUAGAAUUUAACCAACUUGCAGUAGAUUAUCUGUCAUCCAUGGCAUACGAAUGAAGGUCGGGUAAUUUACAAGGCCAUCCCCGAGGCACUUCGGCUUGUCCACUGGCUUCCAGAAUCUCAUGCGCUUCGGCGCCCCCCUGAGGAUGGUAGUUUAUCCUAGAGGUCAGAGACGUUGAACCAGCCCUUGUGCCAAUCUCUAACUGAAAAGGGCAUAGGGGUUUUGAAGAACCUAGUGGCANNNNNNNNNNNNNNNNNNNNNNNNNNNNNNNNNNNNNNNNNNNNNNNNNNNNNNNNNNNNNNNNNNNNNNNNNNNNNNNNNNNNNNNNNNNNNNNNNNNNNNNNNNNNNNNNNNNNNNNNNNNNNNNNNNNNNNNNNNNNNNNNNNNNNNNNNNNNNNNNNNNNNNNNNNNNNNNNNNNNNNNNNNNNNNNNNNNNNNNNNNNNNNNNNNNNNNNNNNNNNNNNNNNNNNNNNNNNNNNNNNNNNNNNNNNNNNNNNNCAAGGUCACAUAUGUCGCUCUCGUUCUUUUGGACCUUGAUCCGAAAGAAGCACUACAAAAAAACACUUGCGUGAUGAUACGUGUUUGUCAUAGUAGGUCACGUUUUCUUUCAUGCAUGUACAUCCAUGACGAUUUUAUGACAGAAUCAAGAUAGUCAUACCUGUGUUGUCGCACAAGUGUUCCAUGACAAUACUCAAAUUAUCAUCAUGGAAGUGUCCACUUCCAUGACGAUAAAUGGCGCGUCAUGGAGGUGCUUUCCUCAAGGGUAACCGACACGUGGCAUCCACCAUAACAGGUCGCCGUUAAGCUAUCAGAUUCUAGUUUGGAUCCGAGAACCCGUUAACAGCCCGGACCAAAGGGGAUUUUCCACGUGUAAAACUGUCAUUGGCCAGAGGUGAUGUAGGGUGGAAACCCUAGGGCCGAUCUUUCACGAUUUGGAGGUGAUCCUACGACGAACACGAAGAACACGAGGGGAAACAUGAGGGGAAACGUGAGGGGAAACACUCAAAUCAACGAGAACAAUCACACAUGUGCUAGAUACAUGAACAUAAAGAGUGAUAUGAGAUCCAAACACAACAAAGGAUGAUACAAAAGGCGGUAGUUCUUCUCCGUGAGGAGGUCUUGAGGGGUCUUCCCGUGAGGAGUCUUGAAUGCACUUGGGGGAUCUUCUCCGUAGAGGUCAUGUACUCCAAUGGAAAUGGUAUUAAGUGGAUGAGCAAAGCUCUAUCUCUCAAAUGAGCUAAUCCUUUGCUGACCCUAGAAAUAGGGAGGAGAAGGAGUAUAUAUAGUCUAGGGGGGGGGCGAAGGGAUACACGGGCCUCGACCCUUUACUAUGCGCAGACAGGGGGGCGGAUGUCCGGGCAGUCGGGCCGGAUGUCCGGGCCUUUGAGGGGGUGCCGGAUGUCCGGGGCAGGGGGCCGGAUGUCCGGGCUGCUGGGGCAGGCUUCGGCGAGGUUCUGUGAAGGGCGCCGGAUUUCCAGGCUGGGGCCGGAUAUCCGGGCUGGGGUCGGGCCAGAUGUCCGGGGCCUGAGUCGGAUGUCCGGGCCAUGUAGCUUCGGCUGGGCGGUGGCUAUGGUAUAUGCUCCAGGGGCCGGAUGUCUGGGUCCUGGAGACUUAUUCGACUCCUUCUGUGGGUUCUCUUCAUCCAUGGACUUGGGGACUUGUCCGUCUUCACGUGCAUCUUCGAGGGGUCCUUCUUGGUACCUGAUCAUGCACAAUAUUCGAGACUUAUGUAGUAGCCAUGCCUUGAGUGGGUCAUAUGGAAUAUCAUAAAGGAGAGAUGUCACCUCGGUCUCGAGAGCUCUAGCUCAUGCUCAUGUCAUUGGUCCUUUUGGCACUUGGUGAGACGAUGGUAGGUCCAUGGGGAUGACCAAAGGAUGCUCCGCAUCAUCUCCCCCCCUCCCUUGGGAAAGAUCCGACCUCGGAUCAAAAUCCUCAUCACCAUGGUAGGGAGAGAGAUCUUUGUUGUUGAAGAUAUCACUCACGGAGUACUUGUCGCGUGGUAAGUCAAUCUUGUACGCAUUGUCGUUGUAGCGCUCGAGUACGUUGAAGGGUCCAUCGGCUCUUUGUUGUAGUUUGGACUUGCGUUUGUUGCGGAAGUGUUCCUUGCGAAGGUGUAGCUGUACAAGAUCUCCAAUGUUGAAUAUCAUGCGUUGCUUGUUGAUGUUGAGCUUGGUCACGAGUCAUUCUACUUGGCGCUCGAUGGUGUGCCUUGUAUCUUCAUGCAUAUUCUUGAGGUAGUUCACUCAUGCAUUCGCGUCCAUGUUGAUGCGCCCUUGUAGUGGUAGAGGAAAAUGGUCCAAUGGGGACAACAGGUUGAAGCCGUAGACGACCUCGAAGGGGGACUUGCCGGUAGUCGAGUGUCUUGCAUGGUUGUAGGCAUACUCGACGAUGGGUAGACACUCCCCCCACUCCUUGAUGUUCUUCUUGAUCAAUACGCGUAGUAGAGUGGAGAGCGUUCAGUUCGUGACCUCUGUUUGGCCGUCGGUUUGAGGAUGGUAUGCCGAAGAGAACAAAAGCUUGAUUCCGAGCUUGGCGCAUAGCGUCUUCCAAAAGUAGCUGAGAAACUUGACAUCGCGGUCCGAGACAAUCGUAUUUGGCACUCCAUGUAGACGCAAGAGUUCCCUACAAAAGAGAUUCGCGACAUGUGAAGCAUCGUCUAUCUUGUUGCAUGGUAUGAAAUGUGCCAUUUUAGAGAAACAGUCCACAACAACAAACACGGAAUCUUUGCCAUUUCGCGUUCGAGGCAAACCAAGCACAACUCUGUACUAAUUUCUUCCCAUGGGUGAUACGGAAUAGGAAGUGGCAUAUACAGACCAUGGGAUUGAGCUUUAGACUUAGCUUUGCGACAUGUAUAGCACCGGUUGGUGAAGCGUGAGACGUCGCAGAACAUCUUGGGCCAAAAGUAGUUCUUGGAGAGUGUGGCGAAUGUCUUGUCGCGUCCAAAGUGUCCCAUAAGUCCUCCUCGGUGAACCUCUUGCCAAAGUAACAAAUGAAGAGAAGACUCGGGAAUACAUAGUUUGUUAGCUCUCAUAAGAUAAUCAUCUUUGAUGUAAUAGCGUUCCCAAGACGUAUGCAUCAAACAUUUGGCAUAAGGAAUAACAAAUGUAGGAUCAUGCACAUACAAGUCUUUUAUGUGCUCAAAGCUAAUGACAUUCAAUUCAAGUUGGGUAACAAGCAUGCAUCUACGGGAAAGUGCAUCCGCCACAACAUUCUCUUUGCCUUUGGUGUACUUGAUGACAUAAGAAAAUGACUCAAUGAAUUCACUCCACUUAGCAUGACGCUUGUUCAACUUAGUUUGGCCCUUAAGAUAUUUAAGUGUUUCAUGAUCCGUGUGAAGAAUGAACUCAUGAGGGCGGAGAUAAUGUUCCCAAACAUGUAAGACUCUCACUAAAGCAUAUAGCUCUUUGUCAUAGAUGGGAUAAUUGAGUUGCGCUCCUGAAAGUUUCUCACUAAAGUAAGCUAUGGAGCGCUUCUCUUGCAUUAACACACCUCCUAUGCCGUACCCACUAGACUCUCACUAAAAUGGUUUAUCAAAGUUGGGUAAUGCAAGCAAAGGGGCAUGCGUAAGCAAAUUCUUAAGCUCAUUGAAUGCAGUAACUUGAGAUGGUCCCCAAACAAAUGGUGCAUUUUUCUUACUCAAAGCAUGUAAAGGUAAAGCAAUGGUGCUAAAAUCCUUCACAAAUCUACGAUAGAAACCGGCUAAGCCAAGAAAGCUACGCACUUGUUGCAAGUUGGUUGGUUGGGGCCAAGUUUUAAUAGCAUUGAUCUUAGAGUCAUCCAUGCACACCCUUAGAAGACACAACGAAACCCAAGAAAACAAGCUUAUCAACACCAAAAAGGCAUUUAUCCAUAUUAGCAUAACGACACUCUUUUCUAUGAGUUUGCAACACGGUUCUAAGAUGGGUGACAUGAUCUUUGAGAGAUUUGCUAAAUACAAGAAUAUCGUCAAAAUAGACCACAACAAAUAUGCCAAUGUAAGGACAAAGAACAAAAUGCAUCACGCGCAUAAAGGUGCCGGGUGCUUCAGAUAAACCCAUUGGCAUGACAAGCCAUUCAUAUAAGCCAAACUUGGUUUUGAAAGUGGUUUUCCAUUCGUCACCUUCUUGGAUGCGUAUUUGAUAGUAGCCACUUUUAAGAUCAAUUUUAGAGAAAACUGUGGCUCCGCUAAGCUCAUCUAGCAUGUCGUCUAAGCGUGGAAUGGGGUAGCGAUAUCUAACCAUGAUAGCAUUGAUAGGACGACAAUCAGAACACAUGCGAUAUGUACGAUCUUUCUUGGGAACAAGGAUUACCGGGACGACACAAGGGCUCAAGCUUUCUCGUACAUGGUCGUUGUCGAUGAGUUGUUGUACUUGCCGUUGGAUAUCCUUGGUUUCCUCGGGGUUGACGCGGUAGGGAGCCUUGUUAGGAAUAGGUGCUCCGGGGAUGAGGUCAAUGCGGUGUUCGAUGCCUCGAAGAGGAGGUAGACUCGGAGGUAGCUUGUCGGGGAAUACAUCUUGGAAUUCCUGCAAUAGAGAAGAUAACACUAAAGGUAGAUUGUGAGAUGUGUUAGUUUCUGUCGCCCCGUCCUUGCACAAAAGGACAUAGUGCAUAACACUUGAUGGGUUCCCACACACUUCUCUCAUCUCACUUUUGGUGGCAAAUAGUACUAAGUUUUUCUUGUCGCUCAUCGUGGAGGCACUCAUUUUGGGCUUAUGACUCUCACUCCCUUUUCGGUGGCUCACUCUCUCACUAUUCUCUCCAUGAUGGUUGGCUUGCUUGUUGGCGAUCACUUGACUUGGUGACAUAGGUCGUAGCAUGUACUCCUUUCCCGUCAUAUUGAAGCUAUAGUAGUUUGUUCACCCGUUUUGGAUGACGCCUCAGUCAAAUUGCCAUGGUUGUCAAAGAAGGAGGUGGCAAACGGACAUCGGAACGACAUCACAUUCCAAAGUGUCUUCAUAUACUCCGAUCUUGAAAGAAACUUGCACCAUGUGCUCCACUUGAAUAGUGCCGGAGUCGCUUAACCAUUGGACCUUGUAGGGGCAAGGAUGCUUCAUCUUGACCAAUUGGAGCUUGGAGCAUAGUUCUUCACUCGCCAAGUUAUGGCAACUUCCUCCGUCGAUGAUGACCUUCACGAACCUUCCAUUGAUGCCCGCCUUGGUGUGGAAGAUAUGGCAUAUUUGGUCUUCGUCUUAUUGAUGUUGAAGUGUCAAGACCUUGGAGACAACGAGAGUGGGGCUCGAAUCUUCGUCACAAAAGACUUGAUCAUCUUCAUCUUCAUUCGCUUGCCGGUGCAUAGCCACAUGCUCAAGGGCUUCCAUUUCCCCUUCACUCAUGGAGUCGUAUGUACCAUCGUCGUUGAGGAUCAUGGUGCGCUUGUUGGUACACUCAAAGGACUUGUGGCCUCGGCCGCCGCAAGUGAAGCACUUGAUGGAACUUGUCUUGAUGGUCUCAUCCGGUGGAGUUGUAGAUGAUGAAGCUCUCGGCUUGAAGUUACUUGUAUUAGGAGGACGACUUGAGGAUGUCGAAGUUUUCUUGUAACUUGACUUGUCGCCAUUGCUUGGUGAAGCUUUCGUCAUGGAAGAAGAUGUUGAAGUCGUUGACGCUUGAUUGUUGGAGAAGCCAUAGGACUUGGAAGAGAACUUGGCAUGCUUGAAGUCAUCUUGCACUUGUCACUCCGCUUUGGUAGCUUGACGCACUAGCUCGAUGAGGUUGGACUAAGGUUGUACAGUGCGUCAACCUUAGUAGUGCUGCUAGUAGCAGUGGUACAGUAGGUUAAUUAGGUGAAGUUAAAUGAAUGACCUAAAUGAAUGAAAUUAGUAGUUAACUGAAAUUUUUUCAUUUCAUCAUUAUAGAGCACUAAAGUUAACUGAAUUUUGUUCUAAUAGUAGUUAACUGAAUUUUAUUCUAACUUAGUUUUUGAAUUAGAUGUCAAUUUGGGCAGUAGUGUUUAGUUUAGAGAAAAAAUCAAUAUAAAAAUAUAAAUUUCUAUUACUGCUGCUAGUCCUGUAGGUUCUUAAUUUGUACUGAUUUUUUAUUAUGACAGAAAUUUAGGACAUAAUUUCUAGGGUUCAUAAUUUGAAAUUUAGGACAAAAAUUGAGUUCUAUGGUUCAUAAUUUAUAUUAGUACAUAAUUUUUAUUAGGACAACAAUUUAGGACAGAAAUAUGUAAAGGUUCUAGGUUUCUAGGGUUCAUCCAUCUAUAUUCGGUUUUUUAAUUGAGUUUGAGAGAGCAUGAGAUUUGUGUAGAUUUUCUUGAAGUGUCAAACACUAGGAGAUGCAAAUUUGAAGUGGUCAGGUUAUAUGCAAAUUCCUCAAUUGUGUUUGCUCAUGUAUAUCUACUGUUGUAGUUGCUCAUGUACAGGUUCUUAAGUGGUCCUGUUAUAUGCAACAUUGAAGUAAGUGGUUCGAUUGUGCCCAAGUGGCCUUUUGUUUUUUGCAGGGGAUGAUUCCGAGUGGCCUAUGUUUUGCCGGAAUGUUCAUUCAUUUCCGCUCCGGCAAAUUUGAGGCGCUCUAUUUGUCCAGUUUGUAGCAAAGUUCAUGCCGAAAUUUUCCGUGAAUUUCGGCAUGACUUGUGCUACAAACUAGGACAUAUCGAGUGCCCGGGAUUUGCCGCAACGAGAAUGAAUCAACAUUCCUGCAAAACAUUGGCCUUUUUAUGUCAUUAUUCAUUUUAUUAGGUCUAGAAUUAAUUGACCAGAUUUAAUCAUAGGAAACAUGGCUAACAACAAUGAAGGACAGGGUUCUGGUGAUUGCAACGUCUACGCGGUGGCAGCCGCCUAUUUGAACCUUCUCGAUGAGCAACGGUUGUUGCAGGGCCCACCAGUCACAUCCGAGACUGAGACCGACAUUGAGACUGACACCGGCGCCGAGACUGGCACCGAGACUGGCGGAGCCGGUAUAGAACUGAAACCAAAGAGGCAACGGUGCCCAAACCAGCUCAUCACUACUAGACUGGUGGUCACGGAGGUGGACUCCGACAAUUUUGAGCCAAAAGAGCCUGCGGAAGCGCGCGCAUGCUACGACAAUCUAAUAGGCUGCAUCCUAUGGGAAACCGCCACCAUCAACGAUGAGAAACUAAAGAAGAUACCAGAUAUGGAGCAGUCCCUCCUAACUAAGCUGCACCAGGUAUUCUUGUUCCCAGGCUGGGAUCAAAUCAAAUAUAGUGAUCCAGAUAAAGACCCGGCAAUGAAGAAGAUAAACGAACUCACCAUGGGCAAGUUUAGCAGUGCGUUGUCCGCCUGGAAGGUAAGGGUGAAACAUCGGAUCAUCGACAAAAAGGAACCCUACUGUGAGAUUGUAAAGGAUAAUCCGACAAUUACGGAAGAGCAGUUUGAAAUAUUCAAGAAGGCUUGCGUUGCUGAAGAUGUCAAAGAAAAGUCGGAGUACAUGAAGGGGCUCCAAGAGAGGAACAUGGGGUGCCACCACCUCGGAAGCUGUGGUUACACGGGGAAGAGGCCCAUAUGGGCCAAAGAGGAUGCAGAAUGCGAAAGUCUGGGGAUCCCAGACCCCUUGGUGGAGUUCACCAUCCCGCAGGAGCGUGACGUCAUCAGGACCCGAUACCGUUGGGACCCAGUCAAUAAGGUUUUUGAUACGGACGCAGUCACGAAGGAGUUCAUGAGACUGUUGAUAAUUAUUAAUUUACCACCUAAUUUUAGCUUCUGAUCAAUUCGACUGCACGUUUAGUCACAUUUGUAAACGCUCCUUGUUCCUUUUGUAGAGGCCCAAGUGGGACACCCCAUUCAACCGGGCCUUGAACAUAUUGAAAUGAUUCCCGGUGGACACUCGGCCGUCGUAUGGACGCGUGCACGGCGUCGGAGACGGCGCCACGUGGAAGAAGUACUACCGUGAGACCACGGAGGAGAGGAAGGAAAGACGGAGGUUAAAUGAAGAAAACAUCGACAAGAAGGUUGAGAUUGCGGUUGAAAAGAAAUCAACCGAGAUAGUCAGAGCAGCGGUAGCUACCGCAAGAGAGGAAAUGGCAGCUUCGUAUAGUGUCUUGCUUCCGGCUAUCGUCAGUUGGACCAAGCAAAAUCCAAAUAAAGAGGCAGCGGACUUUCCCCUUUCCAACUUCUUCGGGAGCAGCUCGUUUAGCGCACCUGCUCCCGCACCCGCUAGCAGCCCGUCCUCCGUCUCUGGCGUGCUCGACGGGGCUUCGUCUUUGGCCGAGCUCGACACCCUCACAUUACCUGUCAUACCGACCCUCUUCAAUAUAUGUAUAAUCUCCCGUUUCCGUUGCCUUUCGGAUGUCUCAUGUCGCAGACAUGUCUUUGCAGGCCGACGUAACCCCGUGCACCAUACUGUACACCAUCAGCGGCCAGAAGGUGGACGUGGGGAAGGCGACGAUAGUGAAGCCGAAGGAACAAUUGUUCCACAGCGGCCGAUCCCCCCUAACGUCUUCAAGGUUUCCGUGGCCAGUGUCAAACCGGGCCACGAGAAUUUGGCUCCUCUGGUACUAGGGGGAGAUGAUGACGAGACCUUGCGGCGGCUUGGCGGUUGCAAGAGUUGGGUCCUAUUGUGGCUAAAGAGUCUGCUUCGUCUGGAGGUGGCCGGGAGCACACCCACGACCACACAGCCUCAGCAAGGUAUGUACAUCAACACCCCACCUACCCAAUUAGCGUCGCCUGUCGUGCCGGGUGUUGGGGAUAUAACUAUUAGGUAUAACCCGCCCAGGAGGGGCCAGGUCAUACCACUCACGACUUGUAAAAUAAAGAUGGCAGAUCAUGGCAAGCCUAUUGAUGGCCCAAGACCCAGAGGCGACUUGAGGCCCAAGAGGAUGAACCGCCAUAUGUAUAACUUGUAUUGUAAGGCAAGCUUAGUUAGUCACCGAGCCAGACACGUUGUGUAUGAGCUGGCCGGGACUCUGUAAGCCGUCGGGCAUCAACCUGUGUAUAUAAAGGGGUGACCCGGCAGCGGGUUAACUCAAGAAACAACAAGUCGAGAACUAGGUCAAGCGGAUUCGCUCCCUGGUAAUCGAAACCCUAGCAAUACAACCCCAAACUGGAGUAAGCCUUUACCUCAUCACGAGGGGCCGAACCAGUAUAAACUCUCUGUGUCAUUUGUCCCGAUUAACCCCUUUAAGCUAACCUAGUUGCGAUGGCUCAACACCUAAGUCCUUUUGCUAGGACAUCUGCUUUGUUAAGUCCGCAACAGUUGGCGCCCACCGUGGGGCCAGCGCAUGGUGGUUUUGAGUUCUUAAAGGGCAACUUCGCAGGGAUCAAGGGAUAGGCUAUGGGCCGAAUGACCAAGAGUCGUCGCGGCAAGCUCUACAUCGACGACACAGGCUGGGGCCCCGACGCCGGCUCAAUUGAGUAUGGGUACCGGGUCCCCUUCGGCGGAAUCCACGUCUUCAUCGGCAAGAUCGGCGAAUCGGGCCCUGAGCCGGACACCUACACCGACAUCAUCGAGACGGCUCAGCGUGCACGACCCGCCAAGGAUCAAACUGCCGUGAAGCACGCCUUUGUGGGUUUCAUCCAUGGGGCGGAACUUGAGGAAGGAUCUCUGUCUGGUGGUGAGACGACCAUCUACUCUGAUGGUGAGUCGUCAACCGGUGAGACCAAUUCAAUGUAUCAGCUACAAGACGGCCGGCUUGGGGGCUGUUCCGAUGGGGACAGUAUUCCGGACCCCUAUGAGCCGCCGAACAGGGUGGCAAUCUUCAUGGCAGGUACACAACCAGUGCUCGGUUCGACACCCGCCGUAGCCAUGACCUCCAGCUCAACGGCUGCAGCGACAGCUGGGGCUAGCAGCUCUGCGCGUUCGCCAGCUCAUGUUCUGACCGAAUUGUUGGAUGCUUUGGCGGCUUUGAUGGGGGUGGAGGUAACCCCAGACACUCAAGAACAGCAUAAAGUGGAUGUUGCGAAGCUACGAGAUGAGAUAGCUAAGGCCAAGUAGGAGCUGGUGGCUGAGAACGCUAGGAUGGCCACGGAGCAGGCUGCUUUGGACGCUCAAGCACAACGGAUUCAUGCAGACUCUUUCCGGCUUACCUUGGAUCAAGACGCUUCAAAUGCCAUCAUGAGAAGGAGGCACCAGAGUCGCUUACCUCCGGUUUACGAUGAGAAACCUCUUCAACACACGUGGGGCACGAACCAAUGACCCGCCUAUGGUGAACCAGGCAGUUGAGGCGCCCGUGACCGGAGCGCCGGUUCAGCCGCGUACUGCGGAUCCGCCUCGUUUGGAUAUGACUCCGCCUCAGCAUGUUCCGACACCGUCGGGUCAUUAUUCUAACCCUCUGGAUAAUAUGAUUGCUGCGGCGACACGAUUGGUAGCUCUCCCAGUUGAAGGCGAGUCUCCGGCGGCGAUAGAGACGCGGAGGGCCAGAGAGCUUCUUCAGACAGCAGUGGCUCAACAGGCAGCUUAUUCGUAUAGCCGCGAAUGGAUUCACUCAACUCCUCGGCCAAGCUGGAGUUAUAGCUAGCAUAUUGACUCGCCAGCAGUUUCGAGCAGUUAACAGCACCGUAAUCAGCCUCAUGGGCAUGAUCCGCCGCGCGCUGGCAAUGAUGUGCGGGCUUUGGUGGACCAGGGUAGGGCGCAGCAUAGGCUGAGCUGGCAGCUCAGUUAGCGGCUCAACAGCAAUCUCCAGUUUAUCUGUCAAUGUCUGUGGGGGCAGGAGUGACCUCUAGAAUGUUGGGUGUGCCAUGUUUAGUGCCGGCUCUACGCAACGUGCGCUUGCCUAAGGAUUUCAAGGGCCCCCGUAAGGUGCCUAACUACACAGCGGAUGAACCUCCAGAAGCUUGGAUUGAGAGCUAUGAGAUGGCUAUGGAGAUGUUGGAUGUUAGUGAUGCUGCAUGUGCUAAGUAUUUCACCAUGAUGUUGGAUGGGCCGGCUCGUAACUGGUUGAAAUGGUUGCCUGCUAACUCCAUUGGUUCAUGGGUUGAAUUGAAAUCCCGUUUCAUUCAGAAUUUCAAGAAUACGUGCAAGCAGCCCAUGUCGAUUCUUGACUUAGACACUUGUGUCCAGGGCGAAGGAGAGUUAACGACCCAGUGGGUACGCCGGAUCUCAACCAUAUUAUUCACUCCUCAAACAGUAUUAACGUCGGCUCAGCUAUCCUCAUGUUAGAGAAAACUGCUGUUUCCUUCCCCGCAAACAGAAGCUGGGGCGGCUUAAGUGCCACUGUAGUGAUAUGGGGGAGCUCAUGGCGGCUCUCGUCAAAUACGCCGACUCGAAUAGUACCAAGGAUCCAGAAUCUAAUGAGGAGAAGGCUGGAAAGGGGAAGAAAGACGGUAAGGGGUGUAACACCCCAAAAGUUUAACCAUGAUUUAUUGAUUUAAGUUUUGCCAGGAGAAUUUUUUUUAUUUUUCUGGAUUUAUCUUUGAUUUCAGAACCUUUCUUUUCUUUGAUAUUGUGGAGUUUUUGCCCCAAGUAAAAAAAAACUUUUCAAAGAUAUUAUUUGGACUUGUAUACCCUCUCUUGAACAUUUCUUUUAUCAGUGAAAUUUUCUAUAUGAUUAUUUUCCUUGAGCUCUAUAUCUUUAAAAAUGAUUUUUCUUAAGCUUUAGAGCCUCUUUUGCACUACAACCCUUUGAUAGAUUUAUUUAAAAAUCCCACCAAAAUUUGGGGAUGACAUGUGAUGUUCCUAGAUCACUUUUGUGCAAAAAUACCCUUUAGUCAUUUGGAGAUUUUGAGCUUUUCCCCAAGUUUUCAAAUCUAGUCCAGUUUGCACUUUUGCACUACAACCUAUUUAAAUAUUUCUUUAAAACUUACACCAAAAUUUGGGGAUGUUAGUAGGAGUAUAUUAUUCAACUUUAUGCAAAAACCUACUGGUGUUCUAUGGAAAAUUUGAGCAAAACAUCCUCUUUUGCUCUCUGGACCAGAUUGGCCUUUUCUACUGCAACUCCAAUUUUUAUUGCUCUGUUGCCCAUGAUUCUUCUUCUUGCUUAUAGUCCACCCUACAAAACCCUUAAGUUCAGGAGAAUGCACCCAUGAGAGUAUUUUUGGUCCAUGAAACUAUGCCUUUUCUUUCUGUCCAGAAAUGGUUCCCUCAAAAACUUCCACUAGCAAGUUUCUGUUUUUGCCAAACUAACCUUGCCAUCCUCCUUUUCAUCUAAAGAGACUAGGAUCUGGAGAUUUUGGCCACCCCAAGAGUUGCCUAGAUGCCCUUAGCAUUCUGUCAAGCACCUUGUGUGCAUGGUCAGAUUUGACAUAAUUUUUAGUUUGCACACUGGACCUGCUUACUUUGCCUAACCACCAUGUCCACUAACCUCCUUGCAAACAAUAACCUAGACCUGCCAAACCUCACAUGAUGUGGAGCCCUCUGGCAUGCCAUGGCAUUUUGCCGAACAGCUCGCGUGCGUGCGCUGGGCGCGCCCAGAGCGCACGUUUUGCACGCGCGCGCACCGAGUCGCCGCGUCCCACUACUGUCGCCCCGCGCUCGUUCUGGCCCUUCCCCACUCGCAGCCGACACGCCCCGACUCCUUCCUCGCUGCAGAGCCGCUCCUGGAGCUCCACAGCGCCGCCGUCAGGUCGGCCGUGGCCGCUAUCGGCCGGCCACAGCAGGCCCCUGCCCUGGACGGCGCCGCCCGAGCCACAGCCGCGCGCCAGCUCGCCCUGAACAGCUCGAGCUCAUCCCCUCACCCUGCCAGACCCCGCCAGCCACCGCCACGCGCCCCCUGGCUACUGAACGGCAGUUCGCCGUCGAGCUUAUCCCCGGCCGCCGCGGAACCGACCUACUCGCGCUAUAAAUAGGACCCCCGAGCUCGCCUAGGCCCUCAGGCAACCUCAAGCCAACCCUCUGGAGCUCCCCUAGCCCGCAAUCAACGGAUGAAGGCCGUCUUCCCCAUCUCCGGCAGGUUCGGCCGCCGCCACUCCCUGGCUCCGCUCGUCGCAACUAGAGCCUCCCCCGUCCAACCAGUGCCACCAUCCCCUUCCCCUCGAUCUCGCGGAGCCACCCAACACCUCAAAUUCGCUCGGGAACCGUCGUAGCACGAACCCCCAAACUCACCCGAAGCUGCCGUUCGCCGCGGAGCUCGCCGCCGGUGACUCCCUCCAUCCCUGCCACCUCCUCGACCACCGGGAGGACCGCCCUAGCCUGGCGGAUCCAUCCCCGCCCUCAGAACCCCGCGAGGAGCCGCCGUUCGCCGGCGUUGAUCGCCGGAGCCCCGCCUCUGUUCGGCCAGAGGAGGAAGGAGGCGGGGGCGACCGGUCAAACCUGACCAGUGGGCCCCCUGGACCCACUGUCAGCGACCCCGAGCCGGUCCACGCUGGCUAAGUGGACACGUAAAGCGCAGAGUACGUUUUCCCCUCGAACCGUUUUUCUUUUCUGUUUCUUUUAUUUAUUUAUUUUAACAGAAAGUUGACUAAAAUUUGACUGGCUAUAACUUUUUUAAUAAAACUCCAAAUGAGUUGAUUCUUUUUCCUACCUCUCUCAAAUUUCAUCUAGUUUAUUUUCAUAUUUAUUUGAAAAAAAAUUCAGACAACUUUUUGUACUGUUUUGAAACUAUGUGUUAAUUUGAAUAUUUUCAAAAAUAGGAUUUUUGGAGAGAGGAGAAAACUUUCAAAAGUUUUGGAAUGCACCCUGCCUCUCCACAACUUGAAGGCAAGCAUUCUGAACCCUGGCAUAAUAUUGUCGUGUGUUGUUUGAUACGGUUACAACACCCCUCGUCUCGGAGUUUCCGUUAUUUUAUGUGAUGAUAUGAACAUACUCAUAAGUGCAUAUUGAUGAUUCCGUGCUAUUGGAAUUUGAUACGUUGUGAUAGUAAUCACCAUCGUAUGCCUUUCACGCAUACCGGAAGGAAUCCGGGAAAGCCUCUGUCUUGGGUAGACACGGGCUUGUCUCUAGUCCUCCGUCAAGACGGUUGUGUCCGGUAUGGCAUGAUGAGGUAUGGUGAGUGGUGAUUCUGUCCGUUGGUUGAAAUAUAUAUGUUAUGCUAAUCAUGCAGGGAAUACUAAAACCUCCUGAGUCGACCAUAGAUCAAGUCUUGUUCCAGUAACCCCCAUACUUGUUUCGUACUACCACUUGUCCCUGCCAUAGGUAGGGUACGGCUCAGUAAGUUGUCAACCCCUUUCCUAGCACACACCGUACAGAGAGGGCAUGGUGGAAGAUACCAGCUGCAUCCGGUAGGCAUGCCACCUGGUCCGGGGGCAUGGGUGUUUCAGGUUGGGACCGAGAGGGGGGCACCCCUUAGAGCGCGCGAUAUAAAUUUGAUGCCAUGCUACGCGAGGUUGUAGCCUCCCCACUCAGAGUUUUGCUUAACAGGUGUCGUGGGUGAUUCCAGACACCGGUAAGUUAGGUUGGUGUGUGCGGUCAGGUGUAUUUUCAAUUGAAAGACCGUGGACGGAAUUAGUCCCGAUGGACUAAAGGAAUCCGUUACUCGUGGGUAAAGAGUACACCCUCUGCAGAGGUUAAAUCUAUUCGAAUAGCCGUGUCCAUGGGUAAGGACUACAGUCUGAGAUGGGUCAAGUGUCGGUCUUAGUGUCGGUCUUCGGAGGAGAAACUACUAAACCGAAACAUGGAUCAUGACUUGUGACUUAUGAUGAUUAUGAUUAUGAUUAUAUUGGACUAACCCUUUUUAUUACUUGAAUUAUUGAGUAUCCCUGGGACGGUUCUACCUCCUGGAUAUUCAUUGUGAUUAUUUUCUUAUAAGCCCUUUAUGUGGUGUCGCUCAGACGCCCGACUGUGGCAUGCUUGUUAUUUGUUUACUUUAUAAGCCCUUUAUGUGGUGUCGCUCAGACGCCCGACUGUGGCAUGCUUGUUAUUUGUUUACUUUAUAAGCCCUUUAUGUGGUGUCGCUCAGACGCCCGACUGUGGCAUGCNNNNNNNNNNNNNNNNNNNNNNNNNNNNNNNNNNNNNNNNNNNNNNNNNNNNNNNNNNNNNNNNNNNNNNNNNNNUGGAUAUUCAUUGUGAUUAUUUACUUUAUAAGCCCUUUAUGUGGUGUCGCUCAGACGCCCGACUGUGGCAUGCUUGUUAUUUGUUUACUUUAUAAGCCCUUUAUGUGGUGUCGCUCAGACGCCCGACUGUGGCAUGCUUGUUAUUUGUUUACUUUAUAAGCCCUUUAUGUGGUGUCGCUCAGACGCCCGACAGUGGCAUGCUUGUUAUAUGUUUACUUUAUAAGCCCUUUAUGUGGUGUCGCUCAGACGCCCGACUGUGGCAUGCUUGUUAUUUGUAUACUUUAUAAGCCNNNNNNNNNNNNNNNNNNNNNNNNNNNNNNNNUUUGUUUACUUUAUAAGCCCUUUAUGUGGUGUCGCUCAGACGCCCGACAGUGGCAUGCUUGUUAUUUGUUUACUUUAUAAGCCCUUUAUGUGGUGUCCCUCAGACGCCCGACUGUGGCAUGCUUGUUAUUUGUUUACCUUAUAAGCCCUUUAUGUGGUGUCGCACAGACGCCCGACUGUGGCAUGCUUGUUACUUAUUUUACUUUAUAAGCCCUUUAUGUGGUGUCGCUCAGACGCCCGACUGAGGCACGCUUUCUGUUAUCGUCCUUUCGAGGCGUCGCUUCAGACACCCGAUCGGUGCAUUUUUAUUUUUAUUCUCGGAUUGCAUGUUCAUGUUUUAUAUGAACAACCUGCUUGCGUGCAACAUGGGUUUUGAAUUCAUGACUGACGUUGUGAUCAUAGAAUAUUUCAGAGCAUGAUUAUCGUUUGUUAUAUUAUACCCGUGUUCAUAAUGUUUGCGAGUACAUUCAAAGUACUCACUGGCUUGUCCCUGGCUAUUGUCUUGGCCAGAUUUCUUGCUUGGAGAGGAGCAUUGCGAUGUCAGCCCCGGAACCCACGCAAUGGUGACAACAGCCUCGCGAAGAUAGGAGUUAACCUGGUCAGCUGUUCCUGUGGGAAAUGGAGUCCCAUGGCCACUGAUGAACCACAAACCGCUUCCGCCAUCAACCACUAGAAACCAGUUGUUGUACUCAUAGGCCAGAAUGGUCUUGUACUACAUAUUAUGUAUUUUGCUUGGAGUUUCUGUAUCAAGUUGGUGCCUCAUCAGCUAACAGUAAUCCUGGGGCUGGUGAGCGCAAGGGCCAUUUUCUGGGAAAUUGAUAUCCCAAAAAUCCGGUCCUAACAAGGGGCAGCAACAGAAUACGGUGGGUCAAGGUAACAAUGGUAAGCGCAAGCAUAUGGACGGCGGCUCAGAUUUUGUGGCUAACACUAAUGUGCAGAACAAUGAUCGCCGCCGCAAGGGAAGGUUCCAGUCCCAAUCUGCAGGGUCAAGAUCCAGUCUAGAGGCAAUGUUGAACCAACCCUAUCCAAAGCAUAGCCGGCCUGAUAGACCAGCAACGCACCUGUGGAAGGAUUGUAGCAUCAUGAGGGAGUACAGGAAUUACAACCUCAACCAGGACCACAAUAAUGGUAAUGGCCUGCACGGCGGAUCAGGCUCCGGCUCACACGAACCCGGCUUUGGAAGCGGCGGUUCAAGUUCCGAUUUUCAAGGACAAGGUGGUCAGGGGGGGCUUUAACAAGCAGUCCAACCAGGGGAAUCAGCAGCAGCAGUUAGGCUAUCAGAGCAAUCCGAAGCAGUUGAAUAGUGGACAGUAUCAUGUGUUCACCACGAGUCUAUGCAAACGAGACCAUAAGAUUCAUAAAAGGCGGUGAACGCAGUUGAGCCGGCGAUUCCUCGUUACUUGCGAUGGUCUGAACAUCCUAUUCUUUGGAGUCGUGAGGAUCACCCGCCCCGGGUUGACAAUCCGGGUCAGUUGGCUUUGGUGGUUGCGCCACAGGUUGGGGGGUACAAGUUUACUAAAGUACUCAUGGAUGGAGGCAGCAGCAUCAAUAUCCUUUACUAUGAUAAUUUUCGUCGUAUGAGUUUGACUGAUAAGGAUCUUAAGCCGUCUAAUACUGUCUUUCAUGGUGUGGUGCCUGGUAAGUCGGCGUAUCCAGUGGGCAAGAUAGCUUUGGAAGUGGCUUUCGGUGAUGAUAAUGAUUCCAAAGCUGAGACAUUGACCUUUCAGGUGGUUAAGAUCAAGAGCCCUUUUCAUGCCUUGUUUGGGCGGCCGGUGAAUGCCAAGUUUAUGGCAAGGCCUUGUUAUGUUUAUCUGCAACUUAAGAUGUCGGGUCAUAAGGGCACCAUCACCGUACACGGCAAUAGGAAGAUAGCCUUGGAAUGUGAAGAAGGCGUGCUGCUUAUCUUAAGUCUAUUUGUGCGACAGAAGAGUUGAAGUUUUACAAAGAUAAUGUUGACCUGACAGAUAUGACACCUUUGAAGAAACCAACCACAGAGCAUGAUCCUCUCUUGAAGUUUAAGUCGGCAGAUGACACUAAUCUUGUUGACUUUGUUCCUGGCAACUCAUCCAAGCAGUUCAGUAUCAGUGCUAAUAUGGAUCCGAAAUAGGAAAGCACGCUCAUCGAGUUCAUCUGUGAGAACCGGGACAUCUUUGCAUGGAAACCAUCUGACAUAUGCCAGGUGUACCAAGGGAACUCGCUGAGCACACUCUUAAUAUUGAUCCGAAGUUUAAACCGGUUAAGCAAUUCCUUCGUCGUUUAAAUGAAGAGAGAUGCAAGGCCAUUGGUGAAGAAGUGGCCCGGCUCUUGGCAGCUGGGUUUAUCAUUGAAGUUUUUCAUUCUGAGUGGUUGACCAACCCGGGGCUGGUGCUUAAGAAGAAUGGCACUUGGCGGAUGUGUGUGGAUUACACAGACCUUAACAAGGCAUGUCCAGCUGAUCCUUUUGCUCUCCCCCGUAUUGAUCAGAUUAUUGAUGCUAUGGCGGGUUGUGAGCAUUUGAGUUUUUUGGAUGCUUACUCUGGUUAUCAUCAGAUCAAGAUGGAAGUUAAGGACCAAGAGAAGACAACUUUCAUCACUCCCUUUGGAGCCUUCUACUAUGUGUCUAUGCCUUUUGGGCUCAAGAGUGCCCAGGCGACUUAUCAACGAUGUGUUCAGAAUUACCUCCAUGACCAGAUUGGGCGCAAUGUUUAUGCUUAUGUGGAUGAUAUUGUUGUGGAAUCCAGGAAGAAAGAGACUUUGAUAGAUGAUUUCAAAGAGACCUUUGACAAUUUCCGGGUCUACAAUAUGAUGCUUAACCCGGCCAAGUGUGUUUUCGGUGUGCCAGCAGGCAAGCUUUUGGGUUUUUUGGUUUCUGAAAGGGGCAUUGAAGCUAACCCGGAGAAAAUCAAGUCUAUCACUUCCUUGGCUAAGCCGGCGUGUAUUAAUGAUGUCCAGCGUCUGGCGGGUUGUAUUGCGGCCUUAAGCCGGUUCAUAAGCCGAUUGGGCGAAAAAGCUAUCCCUCUGUACCAGAUGAUGAAGAAAAUAGAUCACUUUGUGUGGAGUGAUGCUGCUGAUCAGGCAUUUGAGGCCUUGAAAAAAUGGUUAGCUGAGCCGCCAAUCCUUGCAGCUCCUAUUGACAAGGAGCCCUUAUUGUUAUAUGUGUCUGCUAAUAGCUGAGCCGUAACUGUAGCAAUUGUGGUGGAACGGAAAGAGGCAGGCAAGGAAUAUCCGGUUCAGCGGCCGGUUUAUUAUAUCAGUGAGGUCCUCAUUGAAUCCAAGCAGAGUAUCCACAUUGGCAGAAACUGGUGUAUGGAGUGCUCACGGCUAGUCGUAAGCUGAUGCAAUAUUUCUUUGGUCAUCCCAUCACUGUGGUCAGUUCUGCUCCCUUGGGGGAUAUUAUUCAAAACAGAGAAGCCACUGGUCGGGUAGCCAAGUGGGCCAUUGAGCUUGGGCCCCAUGGUUUGAAGUUAUGCCUCAGACAGCUAUCAAGUCUCAAGCACUUGUGGAUUUUAUCAAUGACUGAACCGAGCUGCAGAUGCCUAUGGAGAAGCCAGAUAGCACAUAUUGGACUAUUCACUUUGACGGAUCCAGGUAGUUGGAAUGCUCGGGGGCCAGAGUUAUUUUGACUUCCCUACGAGGUGAUAAAUUUUGUUAUGUUUUAAGGUUGAUGUUCCCUUGUACUAAUAAUGCAGCUGAGUAUGAGGCCUUGCUCCAUGGUCUUCGGAUGGCUAAAGAGAUGAAUCUAAGCUAGGUGAGGUGUUUUGGUGACUCAGAUUUGGUGGCUCAGCAAGCUUCAUGCACUUGGGAUUCUAAAGAUCCACUCAUGGCGGCUUACCGCCGAGAGGUUGAUGCUAUUGCUGGUCAUUUCAAAGGUUAUCAAGUGGAACAUGUUGAUCGCAGGAAAAAUGAGGCGACUGAUGCUUUAAGCCGGCUAGGGUCUCAGCGUAAGCCGGUACCACCCAAUGUUUUCCUUGAUAUUCUGCAUAACCCUUCAGUCAAAUUGCCUUCGGAGGAAGAUCUUGCUGUUCCUGACCCGGAGGCGCAGUUUGUGGCGACUCUUCAUGCUAUUCCUGAUUGGACAAUUCCAUAUUUGGCUUAUAUGACCCGGGGCGAGUUACCUGAAGAUGAAACUUCGGCCAGGCAGAUAACCUGGCGGUCUAAAUCAAUGACUAUUGUCAAUGGGGAAUUGCACCGAUGCAGUGUCACAGGGGUGUUUCAACAUUGUGUUUCUCCUAAUGAAGGCCGUGAGAUUCUAUGGGAGAUUAAUGAAGGAGAUUGUGGUCAUCAUGCCGGCUCUAAGUCUCUCGUGGCCAAGGCUUUUCGUCAUGGGUUUUACUGGCUGACGGCUCAUGCUGAUGCAGAAGAUUUGGUCAGUAAAUGUGAUGGUUGUUAGAAAUUUUCAAGACGAGCUCAUGUGCCGGCUCAAGAAUUGAGGAUGAUUCCAAUUACUUGGCAGUUUGCAGUCUGGGGGCUAGAUAUGCACUACUGCAGGUUGCUGUUAACGUGACACUACAAUCAGAGACCCUUUGACGAAAGUGUGUGCGAUGCCAUAAUCGCAAACGAUGGUGUAAAAAACCGUCAAAAAAGGUGCAAAAUGUUUGCGAUGGAGGAUGCAUCAAACACGGUUCAGAUUAUAGUUGCGUGUGCGAUGCUGGGCAUACGGUUCAGUUCAGUUAACUGUUUGCGAUGUGGCAAUACAAAAGAAACGGGCAGCCAGAUGAAGGCGUGUGCGAUAUACAGCUUACGGUUCACUCGGAUGAACCGUUUGUGAUUAGGCAACACAAAAGAAACGGUCAGCCAGAUCAAGGUGUGUGCGAUAUACGGCAUGCGGUUCACUCGGAUGAACUGUUUGUGUUGAGACAAGAGAACAGAAACGGUUCAAUAUAUCAAGAUGUGUGUGAUACGCGGCAAAUAGGUCUGUAUUUAGAAAUGUGUGCAAAGACCAAUAAUAACACAGACGAUUGCUUCUAAUAAGAAGUAUGUGAUAUGCUCUAUCUACACAACAUCUAUUGGCCAUUGGGCGACGAGCGUUCAUCCAGGUAUGCCAUAAGUAUGGAAGAGGGCAUCCUAUAUCAGCAAGGACUAGCCGUUCCACCAGUAGCUCAUCUAAGAGAACUCUCAAGUUAACUGUGCUCAGGUUGGAGUAGGCAUGAGAUGGGUGACCGGAUGGGAAGCUGUCUUGAUGUUAAUCCCACUGAUGGGAUGUAUCUUAAAUGUCUAUUUUGAUUUUUCUUUGUUUUUUAACACAUGUUAAAGAAGGUCUACCGCAUUACUUUUUGACAAUGUGCGAUUGAGGGCAUACGCUUCAGAAGGAUUAACUGUUUGCGAUUAGGCAACAGAACAGAAAUGCCACGUACGCGGCCGAGAAAGCGUACCCACGUUACUCCGUCCGGGAAUAGUGCUGCACUUAGAAAUUAUAGAACCGUCAAUAAAUUUUGAGCCUGCGUCCCGUCACAUUCCAAAUUGCAAACCUGUUCACACCGAUCAAAACCUAAACGGUUUCCCACUUAGGAGCGUAUUAGUACUCGGUUAUAAAUACUACUACUCCAAGAUGACUGCACAUUCCUCCUCAACUCCUCAUCCACAAAAACAAACAAGUCAUUCAUCAUCAUUCCCUUGCGCGUGCCAUGGCCAGCGUGAGUUCUGGGUCGAGAGAUUGCCACUAGAGAGAGGCGAGCAUUGAAGCGGAAGCGCGCGAGAUGUCCCGCCUUGCCGCGAAAGCAGCUGACAUGUCCCGACGCGCGGCCGUAGUAGCAGAGAGGUCCCGCCGCACUGCCGGAGCAGCACGGAGGUCCCGCCGCACCGUCCAUGUAGCAGACUGGUCCGGCCGUGCUGAGGAAGCAGAAGAGAUGUCCCGCCGUGCCGCAAAUGCAGGAGAGAUGUCCUCCCGCGCCGCGGCGGCCUGGGAAAAUGUCUCGCGAGCAGGCGAGGACUGUUACAGGCGCAUGCAUGCCAUCGUCCUUAGCCAGAUGGAUCAGAUCUCUGGUUGGGCGAGGUUGCAGAUCUCCGGCUGGGCGAGGCCAUCCGGCAACUAAAUGAGAGCAAUGCGAAGCUCUCGGCCGAGCGCGACCAGAUGAGGGCGAAGAUCGUCUGAAGUGUGGAGCAGCAGGAGGAGACCACUGCCUUGUUGAAGAGGACCGCCGUCAUCGUCAAGAAACUUAUGGACGAGAAUGCCAUGCUGCGCAUCGAGGGCAGAAGGCUGGUGGUGGAAUCCGUGGAUGCUCUCAAGCAGCAUCUUGAGGACAAGAAAGAGCUCAUCGCCGCUCGCCGCGGAGACUAGUUCCCGCGGCCUGCAGCAACAUAGAGAUCAUCGAGCCAGAUCGUUGUCUUCCUUCUUCUUUUGCCCUUGUGUAUUUCAGGCGUUGCCGCAUGUGGCUUUUUUUAAUUAUGUUCCUAAAUAUGUAAGACAAUUAUUAUCCACUGUCAUCGUCCUUAUAUUCAUCAUGCUUGCUAUAAGUCGCAGUCGAUGCUAUAUAGGUCCUUCAGAUCUUACAUCAAGAUCCGUGCAAAACUUUCUUUUCAGAUUUUCAUUUUUCUCUCUUAAAUCUCAGUCCAGUGAGACAUAUAGCCACGCCGUAGAAUAGGGGCUCGGGCGCCAUUAAUGGAGACGUUGGGAGGGAGGUGCGCGGCGGGUAGUGGUCAAAGGGCUCUCCUCCCGAUGAGCACGCGCAGGGGUCUGAUCGCACGCCUCCCGUACUCCAAUAGCUACCCCGCACGGCACCUCCCCACCAAUAAAAAAGGGGACGCGUGGCGGCACGUAAUUGGUAAGUAGAACGCCCACGGUUUCAAUAAUACUUGUGUUUCCGAUUUGUAACGUGACAUCACUUGUUCCAAAAUGACUUUGUUGAUUAUUAGUGUGUGCGCCUUCGCAAAUCGGACAAAAAAAUUACCACAGCAUGAUGGUGCCAUGUCAUGACACCAUGCCAAGUUUCAUGAUUUUCAGGCGUGUUUUGGAUUCAUAGGAAUUAAAAAACUAAGUUUCUCAAUCUUUCCGGUCGAGCCACAAUGCCCAGAUGUUUGAAUUUCAUUACCUUUUCUUGCAUGGGACCUAGAAAUUCACCCAAAGACACACGUGUGAUUUUUCAAACAACUUUGGUGCACUUGAGCCUGUGCUUGUAGUUCAAAUUUGAAUUAUGCACAUUAAAUGCGCAGAAACUCAAUUAAUGUAUAAAAAAGGCCAAACGAACCCGGCCAAAAAAUUUACCGCAACAUGUUGAUGCCAUGUCAUGACACCAUGCCAUGUUUCAUGAUUUUCAGGCGUUUUUUGGAUUUACAGGAAUAAAAAACUAAGUUUCUCAAACUUUCCGGCCGAGCCACGACGCCGAGACAUUUGAAUUUCAUUCCCAUUUCUUGCAUGGGACCUAUAAAUUCACCCAAGGACACACAUGUGAUUUUUGACCAACAUUGGUGCACUGGAGCAUGUGCUUGUAGUUCAAAUUUGAAUUAUGCACAUUAAAUGCGCAGAAACUCAAUUAAUGUAUAAAAAAGGCCAAACGAACCCGGAAUAAUUCAAAAAUUUAGCACAAUACUUCUAUUUGGUCUAAUAUGCAUGUGUAAAAAAAUUAAGGCGGGAGAAGGCAGUGUACGCAUCUCGUUUCGCACACGGAGGUGACACGUUCCCUCUCGGAACCACGAGCCUUCUUGAGGGAAGCUCCGGUUUGCAAGAAGCUUACACCAAAGCUUGUCCCAAUUCGGCCAAAAAAAUUACCGCAACAUGUUGGUGCCAUGUCAUGACACCAUGCCAAGUUUCAUGAUUUUCAGACGUGUUUUGGAUUUACUAGAAUUAAAAAACCAAGUUUCUCAAUCUUUCCGGCCGAGCCACGACGCCCAGAUGUUUGAAUUUCAUUCACAUUUCUUGCAUCGGACCUAUAAAUUCACCCAAAGACACACAUGUGAUUUUUCAACCAACUUUGGUGAACUGGAUCAUUUGCUUGUAGUUCAAAUUUGAAUUAUGCACAUUAAAUGCCCAGAAACUCAAUUAAUGUAUAAAAACGGUCAAACGAACCCAGAAUAAUUCCAAAAUUUAGCACGAAACUUCUGUUUGGUCUAUUCUGCCAGUGUACAAAAAUUAAGGUGGGAGAAGGGAGUGCAUGUAUGUCGUUUCGCACCCGGAGGUGAGACGUUCCCUCUCGGAAUCACGAGCCUUCUUGAGGGAAGCUCCGGUUUGCAAGAAGCUUACACCAAAGCUUGUCCCAAUUCGGGCAAAAAAAUUACCACAACAUGUUGGUGCCAUGUCAUGACACCAUGCCAAGUUUCAUGAUUUUCAGGCGUGUUUUGGAUUUACAGGAAUUAAAAAACCAAGUUUCUCAAUCUUUCCGGCUGAGCCACGACGCCCAGACACUGGUGCGCGUCGGUGCUAAACAAACGGUUUAAAACCCCUUUCCGCGAUAGCACUUGGAACCGUCACCAAGUGAGUGUGGGCGAUAGGGGGGUCCUUCCCACACGACCCAGAAACCGUCGGGGAUAGGGCCCCUACAGUACUCCUACUCAUUUCUGCUCACAUUGCCAUCACAAUCAGUAUUCUUUGGUGCUACGUUUACGAUGCGCGACCCAUCACAAACGGUUCACUAUUAUAGAACAUGUAUGAUGCGCGGCCCAUCACAAACGGUUCACUGUUAAGAAGAUUAGAUAAUCGUCGUACGAGUGUCGGACAGGAUUACGAAACGUCGGACCAUCGUAACAUCGUCGUACACGACAACUAUCGCACACGCUAUUCUGUGGUGCAACAUUUACGAUGCAUACUUCAUCAAAAAUAGUUCAUGGUUGCGAAUCGUGUACGAUAAGGCAACUAACACAAAUGUUUAGUUUGCCCGCACUGUUUGUGAUAUUGUCUGACAUCGCACACGCUUUGCAAACGGCAACUCUGUGCAUGCUUGCACACGUUUCCUCUCUAUGAACCGUCCCGGAUUAUGGUGCAUAUCGCAAACGUUUGUGUUUUAUCAACCGUGUGUACGUGCCGUAACAACCUGGAGAGCGUAAUUUCACCGGAAUUUAAUUGGUGCUUUUCCAAAUUGUACCGGAUUUAGAUUUGAAUUUGAAUGUAUGCUACAGCUUUAUUCAUAUCCGCCAGGUUCAAACAACCAAUGCAUUUUUCGAUUCAUAGGUACAUAUGUUCAAGAAUUACAUAAGAACCAAAUAAAGAAUGAUGAACCACAGUUGUAUACUUGUACUAUUAAAGACGGUAAAGAAAGAGGCGAAAUAUAUUCUGGUUGCUGAACAAGGUGAAGCGAAAUGCCCAUAUUGUGCCCUCCUCCAUGCAGAAGGCACGCACGACUCUAGUCCAACCCCUUGUGAUGGCCGACCGCCCAUCCUUCACGGUCUUCAAGAAAAUAUCUAGAUAAUCAUCGUGUUCUGGUAGAAAUACUUUAACCUUUGCAUGCCCACCAAUCAUGUAGUUUGAGAGGUAAACUUGAGUAAACUGGUUUGGCAACCACUGCAAAGGAAUAAGAUUUCAGACAUUGUCAUCUAACACAACUCAUUAUGGGCAGUAAAAACAAGGCUGCAGACUUCUUACUUACCAUCCUGUAGUUCGCUGUUGUCUUGGAUAAAGUGUAAACAAAUAGUUUAAUUGCCAUCUUUGGACCCAUUUUACUAACAAUCUUUAUCAGCUUCCUCACUUGAUGCUGGUUCAUCGAUAUCUCAUUGCCCCAUACGCAGAAAGGGUCGAAACGCAGAUCUUUACCAAUGACAUAUGUACCUAAAAGCACCAAGUUAAUAUUAGAAUCUAAACAGCAAUUGUACAAUGAUGUAGUACAACACUCUUUUAUAAUAUGUCUAUAUACAUCCGUAUGUGGUAGUCCAUUUGAAAUCUCUAAAAAGACAAAUAUUUAGGAAUGGAGGGAGUAUCUUAUAACAUCCAAUAUACUCACAUAUUAGAUGAAUUAACAUCUUAUAUUAUGGGCCGGAAGGAGUUUAGUUCAUUUUUAAAAAUUAUUCGCUGCUGUAUCCACGGGUUACAGUUAGUUUGAGCUAGUUCGGGCUCAAAUAGCCCUAAAGUAUUUCUAAACAUGAGGGCUAGUUUGAGCUAGUUGCAUCUAUAACCCACCCAAAAAACUAGUAUCCAACCCAAGAGGUGCUAAUUGGAGCUAGUUCUCCUAGUGCAUUUAUUGUCAAUCUAACCCUGCCAUCCAAACAACUCUUUGGAUGGAGUUAGUUCAGGGUUAGUAAUGAGCUAGAAACUAACUCUAACCUCUAGCUAAGUUGAGUAUCCAAACAGGGCUGCGUUGUUGCUGUUGCUGCUGUUGCUCUUCUACGUAUAUCUAGACAUCAUUAGAACAUUAAUGUAACACUCUUCCUUGUUGCUAUGUAGCCUAGGAUUGCAUAUUUAGACAUUAAGUAGAGUGCAUGUUGCUAUGUAGCCUCAGAUAUAUUACAUAUGGCCCUAGUUAACCUAAGGAAAAAUGGGUUGCAGAUAUAUUCAGAUGAAAGUCCGAUUCACUGAUUAGUCCCUUAUCAGCCGCCGGCCUAUAUGGUACCAGCUACGGAUAUCCUGAACAGUGAGCAGAUAUAAGCCAUGGGAUGAAACUAACCUCAAUGGAAAACAGCAGUCGUUCCCAAAAUUUUCAUGUGUAGGUACAUCAAGAAGCAUGUUAAGCACAACAGACUAAACAUCAACCAAAAUUACACAUCGCAGACAAAAUAAUCUCCAAAAGAUAGCUUCAGUGUGCAGGUUUAAGCACGCUAGUAAAGCAAAACAAGUGGAAAGUGUGCUAACUGCAACAGGCCUAACAUUUAGCAACAAGCAAACAUGGUCAUUCAAACUGGCAUUGUGUCGUUCUAAGUACACUGGUUAUGGUUAAAUAAAAAUGGAAGGCAUGUUAACUACAAGAUGCAGCAACCAAAUGUAGUCAUUCAUAGUGGUAUUGUUAAAACUGGUACUGAUGAAAUUGAACUGCACAGUUCAUACUUGCACAUAUAGAACAUCACAUUGUGAAUAACUGGAAUAAACAAGGCAUACUACGAACAACCAAAGAUAGCAUUUGAAACUGAACAUAUGCUAAUUACAAACAACCGAACAAUCAAAAAACUUUAAAAUAGGCAUAUGCUAGCUAUAACAGGCUUAACAGUAAGCAAAUAUAUGCAUUCCUAUCGGUAUGUUUAAAACUGGAUUGAUGAAAUGUACUACACAGUAAAUAAUUGCACAUAUAGAGCAUCACAUUGUGAACAACUAAAAUAAAGAAUCAUGGGUUUCCUCACUUGUCAUAGAUGGGCUCGUUCCCAUGGGAAGAGCACGGACCCUGGAUGCGCUCCAUGUUGUCGCAGAUGGGCUCCUUCCCCUUAGAAGAGCAGAUGGGCUCUUUCCCCUUGGAAGAGCCAGAGAGGGUACCCUCCUCGUGGUCGCCAUCGAUGAGGUUUGACUUGGAAGCUGUGGAUCCCAAGCCAGCGUCGUAGAACGUGUCCUUCAGAAAUGACAAAAGGGGCUCGAUGGCGAUGUAGAACGGCAAAUUGUUGACAACGAGCCAGAGGAGAUCAGCGGCGGGGCCAUGGAUGAGGUCGAUGGCGGUUGAACCCGAGGGGUUGGGGUGGGCCACUUAACGUGUGACACAGCUCGCCUCAGGGCGUCGCUGUCGAUGACCUCAAUGUCGUAGCCGGCGGAUGAGACAUGCCCACAUACUCUAGCCUGCUGCUUGAGUGUCUGCCGCCAGUAAUGGUCGUCAGCUUCCUCGGCGACAUCGGGCGAAGAGACCGCUAUACACCUCUUUUGGGCCAGUCGCUCCUCGAGCUCCACGGGAAGCGUAGCCGGGCUUAGGCUGCGACGCUCUGGAGUGGGGGAUGGGGAUCUGUGGGAAAGGGGGCAUUCGGCAGGCGUCAUCUAAGAAACUCAGGGCGGCCUGGGUAUGGAGAUCGGUGGGUAAGCUGCAUGGGCAAAUUGGCAGAUGUUGACAAUGGAGGCCUUGCGGCGGCGGGGACUUUGCUAGGGUUUCGAGCGAGGGAGGGUGUGUGUGUGCGCGCAUGCCCGAGGAGGUUUUGGUGUGUGUGUGGAGGGGGGCACGGGGUGUUUGAGGAAAUGACGCGGGUACAGAAAAUUUUACUACGCGGGAGUCAAACGCGGGAGUGAAAUGCCGGGCUAUUGAAAUUUUAAUGAUAGUGCAUCGCACACGGUACGGAGAUAACAACCGUGUGUUAUGAAAAAGAAAAACCCUCGAGGCAGGCAGAUAUUUUCGAUGCAGGCGGGAUUGGGAACAAGAAUCAUCGCACACGGUCCGGAGAUAACAACCGUGUGUUAUGAAACAGAAAAACCCUCGAAGCAGGCAGAUAUUUUUGAGAGGGGGAGCCUCGUGGAGCCCAAUGUACUGUGCGGAUGUGUGCGUGAUAGGUGCACCGGUGUGGCACACGGUUAGUUUGAGUGAACCGUGUCUGUUGUGUCAUCCGACUUGUCUAAUGUUCAUAAAUUUGGAGAAAAAUGACGCGAGAGAGGGUCAGAACACGAACACACUUGCAUGUAGACCAAAUUUAUGUAUCAAAAGGGUGGUUUGAUUUUCAAAUACCAAAUGCAACUUCGAUGUGGCACCUCUCUCGCAAAGCGCACGGUAUUGCUUGCCCCCCCUCGUGUCGGCAUGAAGGGAAUCCUAAGCUAUGAAUGCAUGCCCCCUCCCCCUCAACCGAGGUUCACCUAGCAAAGUGCGAAGUAGCUAGCAGCCCCCCUCCUNNNNNNNNNNNNNNNNNNNNNNNNNNNNNNNNNNNNNNNNNNNNNNNNNNNNNNNNNNNNNNNNNNNNNNNNNNNNNNNNNNNNNNNNNNNNNNNNNNNNNNNNNNNNNNNNNNNNNNNNNNNNNNNNNNNNNNNNNNNNNNNNNNNNNNNNNNNNNNNNNNNNNNNNNNNNNNNNNNNNNNNNNNNNNNNNNNNNNNNNNNNNNNNNNNNNNNNNNNNNNNNNNNNNNNNNNNNNNNNNNNNNNNNNNNNNNNNNNNNNNNNNNNNNNNNNNNNNNNNNNNNNNNNNNNNNNNNNNNNNNNNNNNNNNNNNNNNNNNNNNNNNNNNNNNNNNNNNNNNNNNNNNNNNNNNNNNNNNNNNNNNNNNNNNNNNNNNNNNNNNNNNNNNNNNNNNNNNNNNNNNNNNNNNNNNNNNNNNNNNNNNNNNNNNNNNNNNNNNNNNNNNNNNNNNNNNNNNNNNNNNNNNNNNNNNNNNNNNNNNNNNNNNNNNNNNNNNNNNNNNNNNNNNNNNNNNNNNNNNNNNNNNNNNNNNNNNNNNNNNNNNNNNNNNNNNNNNNNNNNNNNNNNNNNNNNNNNNNNNNNNNNNNNNNNNNNNNNNNNNNNNNNNNNNNNNNNNNNNNNNNNNNNNNNNNNNNNNNNNNNNNNNNNNNNNNNNNNNNNNNNNNNNNNNNNNNNNNNNNNNNNNNNNNNNNNNNNNNNNNNNNNNNNNNNNNNNNNNNNNNNNNNNNNNNNNNNNNNNNNNNNNNNNNNNNNNNNNNNNNNNNNNNNNNNNNNNNNNNNNNNNNNNNNNNNNNNNNNNNNNNNNNNNNNNNNNNNNNNNNNNNNNNNNNNNNNNNNNNNNNNNNNNNNNNCACUCUUUCAGUCGGCGGGCCAGAGAGGCAUAUAUCUCACCAAGAUGGAUCGUAAAACGGACCAAGAAUAAUCCACCUUGGUCGUACAACCUCUCUCUUGUUGUUGGUCAAAGUGAUGACCGUCCAUGCGACCCCGGAGAUGGGCUAGCUCGCAAAUAAUCACACAAGUAGCUAGUCCCCGAAGACAACCACUGCAUGCGUGUGGCCCAAACAUAUGUAUGGAGAGGUGUGUUUUUGAGUAACAAUGAACAACUUUGAUGUGGCACCGUGAUUUUGAACUAGAAAUCCCCACACUGAGUGAGGGUUAGGUUGACGAUGCAUAUGUAUGUUACACCACACUUCAAGCCAACGACGGGGAUUCAUAUAUGCAUGCAUGCGUCCAUAGUAUAUGCGCUCAAACUUAGUUAGGUCUGAAUCUCACCAUGACCUAUAUUACGAUAACACUAACCAAAUGAAGAAUCCGCCAUGGUAACCUAUCUUGUUGUUGGUCAAGGUGAUCAUGGAUGUCCACGCGGGCCCACGAAUAUAUAGGCUUGUCGCCGAUAACCAUGCAAGGGAGUGUAUCGUUCGAAGGCAACCACUACAUGCAUAUGUAUGGAGGUGAUGCGUUCAUGCAUGUUUGAAUACACAACAUUGAUCUGGUGCGUGUGUCAAAAAUCCUAAACUAGCUCCCCACACAGAGCGAGACCGGUUCAUGAUGGUGCCGUUGGGAGGGAUUCAUGCGUACACAUGCAUAUGUGUGUGCUCAAAGUGUAUCAUGCAUGUCAACCCAGAGCAAAAAUAAUAAUCCCCUCCUAAGUCAAAUUAACCUCUCUUGUUGUCAGGCAAAAAGAAGUGAUGGACCAAUGAUACGUCUCCAACGUAUCUAUAAUUUUUUAUUGUUCCAUGCUAUAUUAUAUUCUGUUUUGGACAUUAAUGGGAUUUAUUAUACACUUUUAUAUUAUUUUUGGGACUAACCUAUUAACCGGAGGCCCAGCCCAGAAUUGUCGUUUUUUUUCCUAUUUCAGAGUUUCGCAGAAAAAGAAUAUCAAACGGAGUCCAAACGGAAUGAAACCUUCGGGAACGUGAUUUUCGGAACGAACGUGAUCCAGAGGACUUGGACCCUACGUCAAGACAUCAACCAGGAAGGCACGAGGUAGGGGGGCGCACCUACCCCCCUGGGCGCGCCCUCCACCCUCGUGGGCCCCAUGUUGCUCCACCGACAUACUUCUUCCUCCUAUAUAUACCUACGUACCCCCAAACUACCAGCUACGGAGCCAAAAACCUAAUUCCACUGCCUCAACCUUCUGUACCCGUGAGAUCCCAUCUUGGGGCCUUUUCCGGAGCUCCGCCGGAGGGGGCAUCGAUCACGGAGGGCUUCUACAUCAACACCAUAGCCUCUCCAAUGAUGUGUGAGUAGUUUACCUCAGACCUUCGGGUCCAUAGUUAUUAGCUAGAUGGAUUCUUCUCUCUUUUUGGAUCUCAAUACAAUGUUCUUCCCCUCUCUUGUGGAGAUCUAUUCGAUGUAAUCUUCUUUUGCGGUGUGUUUGUUGAGACCGAUGAAUUGUGGGUUUAUGAUCAAGUUUAUCGAUGAACAAUAUUUGAAUCUUCUCUGAAUACUUUUAUUUAUGAUUGCUUAUCUUUGCAAGUCUCUUCGAAUUAUCAGUUUGGUUUGGCCUACUAGAUUGAUCUUUCUUGCAAUGGGAGAAGUGCUUAGCUUUGGGUUCAAUCUUGCGGUGUCCUUUCCCAGUGACAGUAGGGGUAGUAAGGCACGUAUUGUAUUGUUGCCAUCGAGGAUAACAAGAUGGGGUUUAUAUCAUAUUGCAUGAGUUUAUCCCUCUACAUCAUGUCAUCUUACUUAAAGCGUUACUCUGUUCUUAUGAACUUAAUACUCUAGAUGCAUGCUGGAUAGCGGUCGAUGUGUGGAGUAAUAGUAGUAGAUGCAGGCUGGAGUCGGUCUAUUAUCAGUUUGAACCUCUCUGAUCCAUGUUCAGCCCAUCAGUGCGAGCGUUUGCACCUGAUGAGCUGAAUUUCAUUUCUAAUAUCAGUUUGAACCUUGUAAUCUUUGAAUUUGAGCCAUAUAACUCUGAAAUUUGAACCUUGUAACAUUUCGAGCUUUUGUGAUACAAUCAUUGAAAUGGCAUCGUAUGAGACUUGUAUAUUGCUAGCACUAUUUUGACCUUAAUAUGCAAUGGUCUUAGAUUUUAUUAACCAUUCUCGAAUCAGUUUACCUUGUCGAUCUCACAGCACACGAUCUGUAUAGCUAACUCGACUGCGAUCUUCGACAUUAUUGCACACAGUUGGUUUCUUCCACCGUGUGCACUGCAGAGCGCAGAAUAAAUUAUUGCACUCGAGUGUCCAUCAUCAGCCUUCUGUGUAACUUUGACCUCAUCACCCAAUGGUAAACUUAUGACCGAAGUCAUUCCACACACUUCGUUUUUACAAAGCUUUUUGCCAAUAAACGCCCACAAUUUGUCCCUCUUCUAGCCGACGUGUGGCCAAACUAGCCGGGCGGUAAGCUUGCGCGGUAAACAGCGCGGUAGCGCGGGAACAGGCUCACCGACGAUAUUUCGCGCCUCUUCGAGCCCACGCCUAGGGUGCGGUGUUGUCAAGCGUGCACUGGAUUCUGGAAUCCUUCGCUAUGAACGCCGUGACAAGACGUGACGAUUACAGGCCGUCCGGCCCCCAUUUAUUACAGCGGCCAUUUAACCUACCCUUGUGUCUCUUCAACCUUUCGAUCGCGCCCCACCAUUGCAAGAAGCACACCCACCACGAGAAAUUCUUAGAGGGUAUCCUGCGCGGCUCCAGUGGCGCUCCGAGCGGUUGCCGACGACAAGCAGCAGUUCACUAUGCAUGCCGUGGUGGACAACCACAGAAGGUUCAUGGACCUCUCGGUGGUGUACACCAAUGAUCCGGUCUGGGUGGAGCACUCCAUCCACAUCAUGGAGCUGUUGCUUGCCGAGGAGAAGUACAAGGUGGUCGGGUUCGACCUCGAGUACACCCACGCUCGUGCCGGGUCUCGUCCCAAGGUCGCCGUCGCCCAGGUGUGCGUGCGCCACCACGUCCUCAUCUACCACUACUUCCUGGCCAGAAGGCCUUGCGAGCGUUUCGCCAAGUUUGUCAACAGCCCCCACUACAUGUUCGCUGCGGUGGACAUCACCAACGAUGUAAAGGCGCUCGAGAGUUUGGGCAUCGCCUGCCAGAAUCUUGUCGACAUCCAGGGCCAAUACAAGAUCUGGGGCAGCAAGGAGCAUGAGAAGGAAUCACUGGUUCACCUCGCCGAGGCCAUCAUCGACCCCUACUAUAGAGACAUGAAGGAUGCGUUAACAAGGACAAGCGUGCCUGGCACUCGGCCUGGAUGGAGAAACUCGAGAAAGCUCACGUCGUGUACGCGGCCAAGGAGGCGUACACGAGCUACGACAUGUACAGGCGGAUCGUUGACAUGAGGAAGUGCCUCCUUCCCCAAAACGACCAGGGAUCCAGCCGGAAGCAGAGCAAUGGCAAGCGUCGUCGCAACAAUAAGUAGAUGAUUAGAUCCUCGUUUCUCCUACUUUAGUAUGCAUGUAAUUGCUUACUUUGGUGUGUGAUCUUGCAUACCAUUUCUUUUGUGUUGCCUAAUCACAAACAGUUCAUCCGAGUGAACCGUAUGAUGUACAUCGCACACACCUUCAUCUGUCUGCCCUUUCCUUUCUUCCUCCUCAUCGCAAACGGUUGAUUGAAUUGACCCGUAUGCCCUGCAUCGCACACGCAACUAAAAUCUGAACCGUGUUUGAUGCAUCCUCCAUCGCAAACGUUGUGCACCUUUUUUGACGGUUAUUUUACACCACCGUUUGCGAUUAUGGCAUUGCACACAGUUUCGUCGAAGGGUCUCUCAUCAUAGUGUCGCGUUAGCAACAUCCUGCAGUAGUGAGAUGUUUGAAUUUCAUUCCCAUUUCUUGCAUGGGACCUCUAAAUUCACCCAAAGACACACAUGUGAUUUUUCAACCAACUUUGGUGCACUGGAUCAUGUGCUUGUAGUUCAAAUUUGAAUUAUGCACAUUAAAUGCCCAGAAACUCAAUUAAUGUAUAAAAAUGCCAAACGAACCCGGAAUAAUUCCAAAAUUUAGCACGAUACUUCUAUUUGGUCUAUUCUGCCAGUGUACAAAAAUUAAAUUGGGAGAAGGCAGUGUACGUAUGUCGUUUCGCACACGGAGGUGACACGUUCCCUCUCGAAACCACGAGCCUUCUUGAGGGAAGCUCCGGUUUGCAAGAAGCUUACACCAAAGCUUGUCCCGAUUCGGCCAAAAAAAUUACCGCAGCAUGUUGGUGCCAUGUCAUGACACCAUGCCAAGUUUCAAGAUUUUCAGGCGUGUUUUGGAUUUAAAGGAAUUAAAAACCAAGUUUCUCAAUAUUUCCGGCCGAGCCACGACGCCCAGAUGUUUGAAUUUCAUUCCCAUUUCUUGCAUGGGACCUAUAAUUCACCCAAAGACACACAUGUGAAUUUUCAACAAACUUUGGUGCAUUAGACCACGUGCUUGUAGUUCAAAUUUGAAUUAUGCACAUUAAAUGCCCAGAAACUCAAUUAAUGCAUAAAAAUGCCAAACAAACCCGGAAUAAUUCCAAAUUUAAACACGACACUCAUGUACUAGUUGCAUGUUCAUUGUACGUAAAUGUUCUAGCAAUUCAAACACCAUCCUUUCCCUCCGUAACACCAUUUUGUCUUUCUAAACAUGAUGAAAAAAUCAGGUAUACCACAAACAGUUUACUAGAAAGAAUCGUGUGGGAUGCGAUAUAAAAUAUCUUGGCGCACCGUCUUGUCUGGCUUACGCAGGAAGCUUCAUCGUCUACAGUCCACCGCCCCCGCUUGAACCACACUUGCGCGCCAGUUUCUCGCGGCACCGAGCGAAAUUUUUUUGCCUCCGCGGAAAUAUCUAUCUCCCCGCCCCCUCCCUCCUACCAAAAGCCACAUUUCCACUAUUCCUCCUUGCUUUUCCAAGUUCAAACCUUCACUGUUGCUUACUGGCAGCUCAGCCUCCUCGCCGGCGACCCUUCUUCUUGCAGCGCCGCCUCCUUGCUGGUUACCCUUCUUCUUGCAGCGCCGGCGACCCUUCUUCUUGCAGCGCCGCCUCCUCGCCGGCGACCCUUCUUCUUGUUGCGCGGCCUCCUCGCCGCCGACCCUUCUUCUUGCUGCGCGGCCUCGUCGAUAUGGUCAGGUAAUCCACACCCCACCCACACCAUCCUCCUCCUUUCCCAUCCCACAUGCCCCGACCGACGGCGCGACACCUUCCACCAAAAUCACUGCCCCUUCCUCCAAUAAGCGCCGCCCACAGCCAUUUUGCACGCAGUAUAACGUGGAGCUCAGUAGCAUGCGGCCGCACACGCGCACGAGGUCGCUAUAGCUUCCAUGCGUGUCGACCGUCAGAUCUUGGAGGAGCACCUCGUCUUCGAGGCCAUCGUCGACACCGCCACACGGUUGUCUACUUUAAAAUAUAGUUCGUGUUGUUUUCUCGAGGCCACUGCCAGUGCCUUCUAGUAAUUUGUCCUCUGUAAUGUUAAUAUGCAAUCUGAUGUUCAGUUAACAGUUUGGUCCUCUAAAAUGUAAUGUUCGGUUAACACUUUAGUCCAACAAUUGCUACAUUUCGUAGUACUGUUCUCAAGCAUUCUUUGUUUUGUUAACUGUCUUAUCUUCUAGUACAUGUUUCUAUUCUGCAAUGUCGUGCUCAGUUAACUAUAUUGGUUCAUUUGGUCUGCUGUCCAAUUAAUUGUUUGGUUCAGUUCUGCAAUUUGAUUUUCAUUUGAUGUGGGUACAAUUUUGUAUUGUUAUGCAUGUGACACCAAUCGAAUUUGGCUGUACUCAAUACAUAUUCUAAUGAUAGUAUGGCAACUCUCAGCUAACCCGAUCAAGAUCUUCCUUAUGUGUGUUGCAGGGAAACAAUGGGAGACACUGUGGUUUACCAUCGAGGUUUGUUCAAGCAGGGUCCUUUGGCUAAUAGCACAUUAUUGUGCAGUUGCAGGAAUCAUUCUAAUAUUUAGGUUUCUUACAAUUUGGUCUUGCACAUGUAGGUCCUGCUGUCAGAGGCUUAGACCCACUGUUCGACCCAUUUUGCAUAUGGGGAAAUGAGAUGUCCAUGAAUAUCAGUCAAGUCAAGAAACUCAGAAAGAUUGUUAGGAUGAAGAAACUUGCGAUGAAUAACAGAAAGAUCUUUGUUUGCACAAUGAAGAAGACAUCAGUCAACUAUAGGAUGGUACCAACUCUUUUACCUUGUUUUUACCCCUUGCGCCAUUUCAAAAUUUACAACAGCAAUUUAUGCAUAGCUUUGUUUUCAGUACUUUUCAAAGCAGUUCACCGAUGAUUACCUCUCAAACCACCUACAUGGUCAAGAGGCGAGGAAGGUAUUCAUUCAACACCCACGGUACAA
rnacentral:lncRNA from 1 species